AUGCUUCCAACACCUCCAUCUCCUUCGAUGAACUCAAUACUCUUGAUACCUUGGGGGGCAAUCUUGGGGAUGAGAUUGUGGGAAUCGAGAAUCAAAGCCUUGAACAUUCUUGAUGGGGCAAUUGGGGCUGUGAAUUCUUGGGUAAAGGUAGUGACACCCAUGACUGUUUUUAAGAGGAAAGAUCUGAAAAUGGAGGAGAAAGAUUUGCUUGAAGGUAGAAGAAGACUGUUGAGUUUGCUGUGAAGAUGUUGAGCACAAGGGAUGGGUAUUUAUAGAUACUAAGAAAUGGGUGUGUAAUGGUUUAGCUGUCUUCGCUGACGAAGAAUUCAAGAUCAAUCUAUCCGUAGCGCUCCACUUUGGACUGGCCCCACUUCUAGAAGAAAAUCACAUUUAGUGACUUUCAUAGAGAUUGACUAAGUCCAAGAUUCUAGAUAUAAUAAUAGACUUCAAACGAAGCAUGCCUGUCAUUGACCGCCGUAGUACGGAAAAUUCUAUAUCUUAAGGUGGAAGUAACACCAUACUUUUCUAGAAAACGUUGUUUUCUUCUCUGGUCUUCUUUUAUUUAUUUAUUUAUUUUGGCUUUUGCCCAUGUGAUGCCAAUCCUAACCUAACUGUGAUGGUAGAGAUAAAAUAGGCUCAAUUCAUUCUUUACAAAUCUAAUAAUCUUGUAUCAGUUACCUUCAAAGGUUUUUUUAUUUUAUUUUAUUUCUAUCACCGCUAAUUGACAAAUUUGACAGACAUGGAGUCUGAAGUGGAAAAGUUAUUCACUAACUCAUUACCAAACUAUAACUGGAUGCACUUAAAAACGGUUUGUCUUUUUUUGUAUGGUUUUCAAAUUAAACCAUUAGAAAAGAUUAUGUCCUAAAACCUUGAUUGGGGUCUUCCCGAUUGAGUUUCUUUAUAGUGUUCAAAGUAAAAUUUAUUAUAGAUUUGAACGAUUAAUCUCCAAUCUAAAUAAAAUAACAUUGGUUUGACAGGGUUAUGGAACUGUUCAAGUCCAUUGAAGAGCACCUCUUAGCAAAUCCCGCUUUUUGUGCUUAAAUGCUCUUUUCAAAAUCGUUUGUGGUGGUAAUUAUUGGAACUAGAGUAGCUUUGUUUUCCCUGUUUCUUUUUGGCUCUAGCUUGGAGCUUUUGUGGGAGGAAUGGUUUUGGAUUUGUUGGUUUUGUGUAUGGUCAUGUCACAAUACAACUUGAAAGAGCAAUGAUCAACUCAACAAUUGAUGCUUCACCUUGGAAUUGCCCUAAGUAGAUCUCCCUUUGUAAAUAUCAUUCAUUACGUUGAACUUGCACGCAAAUAUAUUCUACUUAUAAAAAAGUUGGUUAAGCUAACCAAAAUUACCUUUUGGCCCUAAAAGAAUAGUCAUUCUAACGCCUCCAAAGUUAUCAUUCAUGUACCUUGAAUUCCGACAGACCAAACGGCCUGAAUUGAAUAAUUAUUUCUAGGAUGCUACCUCACCUAACCUUGAUACUCUCUCUCUCUCUCUCUCUCUCUCUCUCUCUCUCCAGCUGCCAUUAUCAACGGCAUGCCCAUCAUACCAUCACCCACAUCGUCGACAACCUUUGCCCACAAUAUGUUUGGCAAACCUACCAUCAGUAGUUGCCAUCCACACCUGGCAAUGCUGAUGAUUUGCGGUAUUCCUUCCUUGACGUUAUGAGCAACAUAAAUUGGGGAAUUAUCUAAUCAAUUAUUGGAUCCGGUACAACCUGUUUGGAUGAACGCUAAACAUCCAAUAAUUUACGAUCGUCAAAAGGGAAUCCAAAUCUAAACCCAUGCCUAAUUAGACCAGGUUUCAAUUUAGAAAGUAAAGUCAGUGAAUUGUAGCUGAAUACAUAUAUCAACUACUCGAUGAUUGAACUCUUCAAUGCGCAUUAUUAUUGCACUGACACCCAUCUAGACUAGAUACACCUCAGCAUACGCGAUUAGCAUCAUUUUGUUGAUUUUUUCCUCAUAAGAGCUCUUGUUUGGUUCCUACUCAAACUGGAGACGAGUUUAAAGUUGGAAUGGUCGAGCAACGAAAUCCAAAGUCUCCUCUGCAACGUCAAAGGAUUAAGGGCCUUAGGGCUACCAGUGGUGUUUUCAUAACGCUGUGUGUACUCUAUACCUAAAAACUUAAUCAAUCAUUCACAUUUUCAAUGCCGGUGAGACAAAAUUUAAUACAGGAAAUUAUUCUCUCUUGACCCCAUGCACGGGAUUCCUCAACUUUGUAGUUGGCCCACGAAAUUUGACGACGACUGUUCGACAGCUCUUUGCACUGAAAGUUCCGUCGUCUUUGACUUAUCUUGCUUUUUAUGAGUUGAAGUACUUUUCAUGAUCUUCAAGAGAGGUGACGGUCCGUACAGUGCAGAAAGCGACAAGAGUUUGGAAGGUGGCUGGCUGCUUGUAUUCCAAUGCGGAGUUCUCUCUACGAAUUCUGAAAGGCACACCAAAAAGAGUUAGGUGUUCUUGUCAUGACAUGGAAAGCAAUCGUGAAAUGAAAUAGGUAACUUCAUUUUUUAAAAACAUUUGCCCAAAAUCAGUUGGUCAAUUUUCAGAUGACCUGUAGAAUCUUCACAUUGAAUUUGUCAUUUUCAAUCACCAAAGCGGCAAAAAAUUUCACCGGUGGAGAAAUCAAUACGUACGGAGGUCAAUGUUCAUCGUGUAUGGUAAACAAAGUCAAUCAAGAAGGGCGGGAAAGAAGUGGGGGGUGGGGGGGCGGGGGCAUGGGGUCCGUCCAAAUUAAAUAAGCAGGUGUCAUUGUAUGACUUUAGUCAAAUUUAUUGGAUAGCGAAAUUAUUUGGUGUUUCUCCGGAAGGAGGAAUGAAAAUACAAAGUGAUUUACGAAUUUGACUUCUACUUUUCAAAUCGAUUGCACAUAAUUCAGGGGUCCUCUUUCCUAUUUUAGGAUUGCCAACCAUUCCUAUAAAUAUGCAUUUACAUUAUGGUAGGUCCAUAUACUAUGCGGACAGGAAGAAAAUUAAAGGACGGUGGCUAACGACUGACUAGUCGGUUUUGGAGUGCUGUCGGUAUGAACCCUUGAAAUUAUGCAAUGAGAAGCCAAAUCAAUUAGGUCACUCAUCUAUAAAUACGCACCAGAUGAUUACUCUUCGGCAUCAAGAAGAACUCAAGCUUCUGCAUUCUGCCGAGCAUCACUUGUAAUCCUUUCAAAUACUUCAUAAUCCAUCUUCUUCAUUUCCAUCAAUAAGAUGGCCGUCACUAGCUACACUCAGGAGUUCACAACUCUAAUUGCUCCAUCCAGGAUGUUCAAGGCUUUGAUUCUUGAUUCCCACAAUCUUAUGCCCAAGAUUGUUCCUCAGGGCAUCAAGAGCAUCGAGUUCCUCCAGGGAAAUGGUGGAGCUGGAAGUAUUAAGCAGACCAAUUUCACCGAAGGUUAGUCAUGAUGUGAACUCAAGUUGAUACUCAACAUAUAAAUGAGGGUUCUGUUGUUAGGAUUUCAAUCAAUGUGUUAACUUAAGCAAUUGAUAUUUCAGGUGGUCAUUUGAAGUAUUUGAAGCACAGGAUUGAUGCCAUUGAUGCUGAGAACCUUGUGUGCAAGUAUACUUUAAUCGAGAGUGAUGUAAUUUUAGACAAGAUUGAGUUUGUUGCUUAUGAGGUCAAUUUUGAAGCUACAGAUAAUGGCGGAUGUGUGUGCAAAAUGACCAGUGAAUAUCACACUAGAGCGGGUGUAGAGCUUAAAGAAGAGGACAUCAAACAAGGCAAAGACAAGGCUAUGGGACUUUACAAAGUGGUCGAGGAAUACCUUUCGGUGAACCCCGGUGUCUAUUGUUAAGCCGUUGCCCUUGUGCUCCAAUAAGUUGUACUUUCACAUACUUCAGCUUUGCUGUUUGUCUUGUUCCUCCGGAACUUCAAGUCCCAUCAUGAAAAAAUUUAUUGUAUUCAUAUAUCAUUUAUAAGGGAAGGAUGGGCUUUUGAUUUGAGAUUUAGUUAAAACAAAUCAAGUAAUUUUUCUUUCCGCGAUUUUUUCAAUUGAAUUUACUUACAUACUCGAACUCUCCGAAAUCAAAACUUUUAGGCACUGCGCACAAGCAAUUUAGAGAGAAGCACAGACCAAUUGGGUGUCGCCAUGAUUAUAAAUUUGUUUGGCCAUGGAAAGGAGUUUGCUGCGAACAUUCCUACUAGACGAUUGGAAGAUGGGCGGUAUGUUGGUGAGAGUGGAUCCAAGUUGAGGGAUGAGCCGAUGAGAAGAUCGUCGUACCCGAAAAACCGGGAUUUACGUAUGGGUUGCUCGUCCAGAUGAUUACAAUUCAAAUAGUACUAAUGGGGAACGUCGACACCUAAUUCUUAACCAACAAUUUAAGCGCUCUUCUUGAGCGCGAGUAAAAAUGAAAUAAGAGUCCCAAUUUGGUUUGGCUCGGCCUCAUUACUUAAGUCCUUUUCGGUCUGGUAUAUGAAGUCGCAAUCCAUUUGCUUCCGCCAUUCACUCGCUAGAUAGACCCAACCGAAGGUUGACAGGCAUCCAACAAGGGGAUUGGGGAUUGGCGCCGGAGAUUACCGGGGAUUAUUGGGUUUGGGGUUUGUUGCAAUAAGUCGAGCGAUCGAACAAUAAUAUAGAUAAAAGAAGAAAAUAAAUCGGACACCAGAUUUACGUAAUUUAGUCGUAAAGACCUAUAUACACAGGGAAAGUAGCAGCGAAUUUCACUAUAAAUUAAACAAUAUAAUGAGAUUACACACUCGAGUCACUCAAACACUCUCUCGAUGUUUCCCAAGCCCCAAUUACACCUAAUAACACACUCAGUGUUUAGUCCCGAAAUUCCUCACGAAAUAAUCUCACAAAGGAAUUACACACAAAUCUUACCACAAGGUUAAAUCGGCUACAAACACUAAUUCUUCUUGGAUGUAAUUCACGAAUAAAAACGAUAAAGAAAAAUCUCUCUCAAGCGCUCGACGACAAGACGGCGCUUCAAGACCAACUCUUCAUGAUCAACGGUGGAUCACCAAGCACUCAUGCGGCGGUUCAAGACAAUUUGCGAUCCACAUCUACCACCCACGGCCACAAGUUUAUCUAUAAGUGAAACCCUUAUUCUUUUGCCAACUUCUCAUAGGAUUCUGUUUCCUAUCCAAAACAAUUUUAUCCAAAACAUAUCUCUGUAUGUUUUAAAUAAAAUCCAAGUCCAAGUCGAAGUUGGACUUUCCUAUUUUAGUGGCCAGACUCUCAAACGUAGAUUUAAAUUUGAAAGUUGAUAUUCGGAUCUUCUUUUCUCGAUUUCGAACAUCCGCAACAUAUCCAAUUCAGAAUAUUUGUAAUCUCGCAUUGGGCUCAAACUCGAGACAUAUUUUAACAAUCUCCAUAUUGGCUCGACGUUUGAGCCAAGUUACAAUUGCUUCGCAAAAAUUCAAACUCUGCUGCUACUUUUCCAUAGCCCCGAUGGGCUCAACCGUCAUAGAUAUUAUCCAAGUCCAAGCCUCACUUGAACUUUGUCAUAACCGAGGACCUCAUCAGAAUACCAACUCCACAUGCACCUUUAACUACUUCGCAAGGAUUUUCUAAUGCAACCUCCUUAACCGCAGAUAAAGCAAAACCAUUAUUGCAUCCAUAUCUAUCGAGAGAUCGAAUACAUACAUUGUUAAUAUCAGCAGUUACAGCAACCGUUGGUUCUAUAAGCUCCACCUCGCUACAAGCACCAUCUGUAUCGAUUACUUUGCUAAUGCUCGUACUCGCUACCUUAGGAGUUUCUGGUCGCAACUCCACCUCAAGCUGAACACUGUUUGGAUCCGUAUUAACACUGCCAUAAACACUCCUAGCCAGAAGUACUGGAGACUCAUCAAGAGUAACUUUUCUGUUGUUAACAAGUGAAUUUAUAUCUAGGUACCACAACUAAUUGCCCACUCACCUUGUGCAUAACCAUGGAAUAUGCACAUUGUCCUCCUAUCGAGCUUACCAUCACUCACUCGAAAAUAAUACGGGCAACCAAACAUGCUAAUAAUAGAAUAACCAGCAACGUUACCUGACCACACUUCUUCAAGAGUCCGCCUCUCAAUAGCAGUUGAUGGGGAUCUACUCACUAGGUAGCUUAUCGUACUAAGCACAUCAGUUAGAAUUCUUCUAGCAAUACCAGCACUAGAGAUAAUUUUUCGGGCCAUUUCUAGUAAUGUUCUGCUCAUCAAUUUUGCAAAUUGUUGUGAUUUACUGGCACUAGUGCAAUGUUUCACUAUGAUCUCUUUCAUGCAGAAUUUAUUUGCUAGCUCCGAGCAGAACUCCAUGCUAUUAUCAGUCCGCACAUGCUUGAUCAAUUUACCAGUCUCCGUCUCGAUCAAAGCUCUCAACCGCGUGAUCCUGACACUAGUAUCAAACUUGUGUAUUGGCACAAACACCCAAGUCUUCCUUGAGUAGUUAAAAGACUCUCGAAUAGAUGCAUUCGAUGUCUCCGGGGCAAAAUUUGUAAUUGUCUCACCUUGAAGUUUAUACAUGCCUCCGUGCUUGAUUCCUUUCAUUAUCACCAAGGCACCUCGAACAAUCUUUAGAACUCCACCUUUUGAAGAAUAAUUGCAACCAGCUGAAUCCAAGGCACCCAAGGAAAUUAAGUUCUUUUUCAACUCUGGAACAUGCCUUACUCUAGUCAAUGUCCUCACAAUACCAUCAUGCAUUCUGAUUUUAACAUCACCAACACCCACAACAUUGCACUCAGCGUUGUUCCCUAAUUAGACUUUACCACUACCAGUGCACUCAUAAGUGAUAACCAAUUUUUAUUUGGUGUGGCAUGAAAAGAAAAACCAUAAUUCAUAAUCUAUCCAUCAAACGAUGAAUAAUCAAUGAUAGACAAGCUAUAAUCAAUAUUAUUUGCUACAGCUGCAACAUUAUAUGUAGACUCAACUAUAAUUCCCUUACCCUUCUUAUUAUUCAGCUUAAGGCAAUUCCUUCUAAGAUGCCCCCUCUUGCCAAAGCUCCAACAGACAACAUCAACAAUCCUAGACUGACUACGUCUGUUCAUGUUCCUGCUAACACGUGUGCUAGUUCUUUAUCUACUUUCACCUACUAAAGCAGCAGAUGCAGGUUUGCCAGAUUCUCUUCUACGAAUAUCCUCGCUCAAAAUCAAAUCUCGAACCUCAUCAAACGUCAAACUUGUUGACCCAGAGGAAUUACUGACAGCAGUAAUAGUAGUAUUCCAACUAUAUGAGGAUAAUAGAAUCAAAGCGCGUACCUCAUCUUCAAAGUUAAUCUCAACUGAAUUCAAUUGACUAACAAUUACAUUGAAUUCAUUGAUAUGAUCUGCAACUGACGCACAUUCGCUCAUCUUUAAAUUAAACAGAUGUCGCAUCAAAUAGACCUUGUUGAUCGCAGAGGGUUUCUCGUACAUAUCUGACAUGGCUUGCAUCAAAUCAACAGUGGUCUUCUCCUUCAGGAUAUUAAACACGACGUUACGAGCUAACUUCAGCCAAAUAACACCCAUAGCUCGCCAAUCCAGCAAAUCCCAAUCAGCUUGCUUCAUCAUCUCUGGUUUCUCCCUAGAUAAGGGCAAGUGUAGUUUCAUCUGGUAAAGAUAAUCUUCAAUCUGCAUCUUCCAGAAACUGAAAUCCUUCCCAUCAAAUCUAUUGAUUCUCACUUUUACUUCUUCUGUCGCCAUCUAUUCGCUUCAACUUAACCAAACCUAGCUCUGAUACCACUUGUUGUGAUAAGGCGAGCGAUCAAACAAUAAUAUAGAUAGAAGAAGAAAAUAAAUCGGACACCAGAUUUAUGUGAUUCAGUCGUAAAGACCUACAUCCACGGGGAGAGCAGCAGCGAAUUUCACUAUAGAUCAAACAAUACAAGGAGAUUACACACUCGAGUCACUCAAACACUCUCUCGGUGUUUCCCAAGCCCCAAUUACACCAAAUAACACACUCAGUGUUUAGUCCCGAAAUUUCUCACGAAAUAAUCUCACGAAGGAAUUACAUGCAAAUCUUACCACAAGAUUAAAUCGGUUACAAACACUAAUUCUUCUUGGAUGUAAUUCAAUAAUAAAAACGACAAAGAAAAAUCCCUCUCAAGCACUCGACGACAAGACGACGCCUCAAAACCAACUCUUCAUGAUCAACGGCAGAACACCAAGUACUCAUGCGGCGCUUCAAGACAAUUUGUGAUCCACAUCUACCACCCACGGCCACAAGUCUAUAUAUAAGUGAAACCUUUAUUCUUUUGCUAACUUCUCAUAGGAUUAUGUUUCCUAUCCAAAACAAUUUUAUCCAAAACAUAUCUCUGUAUGUUUUAAAUAAAAUCCAAGUCCAAGUCGAAGUUGGACUUUCCUAUUUCAGUGGCCAAACUCUCAAAUGUAGAUUUAAAUUUGAAAGUUUAUCUUCGGAUCUUCUUUGCUCGAUUUCGAAUGUCCGCAACAUAUCCAAUUCAUAAUAUUCGGAAUCUCGCAUUGGGCUCAAACUUGAGACAGGGUUCAAUUCUCCUAAGCAUCGCAAACACAUGUACAUAAUGUCAGCGACAUUAAGGAUGAUAACAAUAUUAAAAUAUCUUUUAGAGAUAUUUAAGAUAUUUUUCUUUUAUUUUCUAUAUAUUUUGAUUAUGUGCAUAUGAUUUGAUUUCUUUUUUCAAAGCCUAUAAAUAGGUUGUGUUUGUACUCUUUUAUAUAUAUACAUACAUCAACAUCAAAAUAUACUGAAAUCUCUCAAUUCUCCUUUCAGCAAUCUUUCCAAAUCAAGUUAGGUAUAAUAUGAAUGAGUGAAAUAGAGAAUUUUAGUAUAUUUCAAUAUAUUGAAAGGAGUACAUGGAGAGCCUAUUUAUAGGUUUAAAUAAUGGGAAUCAAAGAAAAUCAAAUUAGAUAUGUAUAAUCAAAAUAGAUAUAGAAAUUCAGAAAAAAAAAUCAUAAACAUCUCUAAAAGAUAUUUUAAUAUUGUUAACAUCAUUAAUAUCGGCAACACAUAGUAAAGAUGAAUGAGACUAAAUUCUCUCUCUCUCUCUCUCUCUCUCUCGUGAUCGUUGUAGAAACAGAGAGAGCGAAGAAGAAUCGAUCUAUUUGACCCCUUCUCGCUCUCCUCUAAGAACUCCCGAUAAGAUAUAUACAUUCGUUGGACGAAGGCAAAAGGGGAAGGCUCAAUCUUAUGUAGUCAGCGGAGAGAGAGAGAGAGAGAGAGAGAGAGCAGAGGGGAUUUGAAGUGUUUUAAUCUCGAGUAUUCAAGCUACGCUGGUGUGGGUCAUUGUUGUCGAAGCUUUUCAUUAGUGGAUUUAGAUCGCGGUCGAAGCCUGAAACCAAAUAUCUGACACGGGUACGUUCUUGCUCUAUUUUGAUAAUCUGAGUCUGCAAGUCCGAGUGUUUAGGUUUGAAUUGAAGUCAAACCGUAAUUGGAGAUUAGCUAGUGGUUUCAAGUCCUAAGGAUAUUGUUUUGUUUGGGUCGAAAUGAGCGGAUGUUGUCUCGUUUGUUUGGAUCGAAAUGAGCAGAUAGUCGAUGAUCUUACACAUAAUGCAACAAUCAUUGAAUUGCUCAUUGCUCUUUCAAGUUUUAUUCUGACAUGAUCUUACACAUAACCAGCAAAUCCUUUUGAGCAUACAAAUAAAAGACCAUUUAAGUGCAAACAGCGGCCACGGUCAUCUAGAAGAUGAAGCAGGAAGACUUCGGUUUUCAAACACGAAGGAUUAUAUCUUAAUAAGUAAAAUUCCUCACUUAUGUGUUCACAGCUUACAUAUAUAGAGACAUCGGAAGAUUCAAAUGAAAACCAAAUUGUAAGAUCAAUUAUCAUGUUGGGAAUACGAUCGUCCUCCAAUAUUGUUGAUUUAUAAGAUGCCCAAUCUGUUCUGUCGGAUUCUAAAGAUAUAUAUCAUCUUAAUUACUACAUUCUCAAGUAACGAAUAAUGUAAUUAAAUAAAUAUCAUAAGAUUUUAGGACUAAUAACAUUAUUCUAUUGUAGAAAAAGAAAUCCUUCUAUAACAUGGCCUGAGGGACUAUUAGAAUAAUAAAACUAUUAAAGAUAAUAACUGAGGAACAAACGACAUAGAUUAAAAUGAAUAACACUAAUAUUUCCACAUUCUAAUUGACUAGAACACAUUGGAACUUAUUGGCUGAAAUUCUUUUUUAUUUAAAAAAAAAGAAGCUAAAAGAAAGGCCAAUAAAGGCCACGAAACCCCAUAUGUAUUGAUUAAUGAGUGAAGUCUCUUAAAAAUAUAAAAGACGAAGUCAUUGUUUUUUAGAAAAUAAAGUUAAAUUGUCAAAAUAAAACUUGAGCCAAAUUAUUGACUUAAAAAAUCAAAAAAUCAAGUCAACUAAUAUAAAUAAAGGAUAAGUGGGAAGUGGAUGAAAUUACUAUUUUAUUUUAUAGCAACAACACACGGCAAUAUAGACCCAACCCGGGCACUCCCGACAACUUGAAAUAUAUGUGUUUCAGGUAUCGCAUUGGGUCAGGUAAGCAUGGUUCCAUUUGCUUGGAUCGGGUCGGGCAUCGAUCCAUUGACACUCCUAUUGACCCACUUCCAUCUAUGGAGUUGGUUCCACAACGACCUGAGGAUAGACUUUGACCUCUGGUCGUGUGGAUUUUUCCACUGGUGAUAAUUAUUAUCAGACUGUUGAUCGAAAAUGAAAAAUUCAAUGUGAAGAUAGGACGGGUCAUCUAAAAAUUGACUUAUUGAUUUUGCAAAGCAAAUGUUUUUACAAAAUGAACUAUUAAUUUCCUAUAUCUUUUCCAUCAACUGCUUUCCACGUCAUGACGAGAACUAGGAAAAGAUCGGUAUAAGAACUAGGGGUGAGCAUGGUCCGGGUUGGGCCGGUCCACCCCCUAACUUUAGGACUAACCCGCACAGUGCUGGUUCUCAAUUUUUGGGACCGAGGACCAACCCUAUUGAGUUGGGACCGAAGACCGGCCCGACCCAGUGGGUUCGGUCCGGUUCCAGGGUCAACUUGGGACCAACCGAUAAUUUUCAUUUCAUUUUUAUACUCCUUAAAAAAGCGAUUAAGGACUGGACUAACCUUAGGUUCAGUCCGGUUUCAAGAUCAACCUAGGAUUAACCAAUAAUUUUUUAUUUCAUUUUUUGUACUCCUUGAAAGGGCAACCGAGGACCGUACCGACCCGAUGUGUUCGAUAAUGAACAAGGUCAGCUAAGAAAGGCAAGCGAUGAGAGUUAAGUGCGGUGAGCGUCGAACAGAAUGAGCAUCAAAUGUUGAACAGGGAGCAACAAACCAAGCAAGCAUCGAGCGGCACGAGUGACCCUAAGCGAGCGAGGCGAGUGUCGAGUGGCAAGUGGCGAGUGAAGAAGUUGUUUCUUUCAAUUUUGGCAAAUUGAAGACUAAGAGGACAAAUAAAACAAAAGAAAACGAAUACUAAAGGAGGAUGCCAUAAGGAGUUAAUUAUACUUUUUUAGAUGCCGUGAAGACUCCUUACAAAAACAUUUUUAUCCUUCGUAAAUUAUGACUAUUGACAUCGUAAAAAACAUUAAAAAUCUAAGUUAUUAAAGAAUAAUGUAAAAUUAUUUGAACUCCUCACUAAAGAGUUGUUUAAUGUUGUUGACACCGUUUAUUUUAAAAUUUUCUCUAUAUAAAAAAAUUAUAAAUAAUAUAUAUAUUUUCAGGGUUGGUCCAAAUUGGACUGACCUAGAACUCUCAGAACCAAAGACCGACCCACACAAUGCUGGUCCAUGAAUUCUAAGAUCAAGGACCGACCUAAUCUUCCUGGGAACCAGACCAGGACUGGCAAGGUUUGGCCGGUCCAAGGUCGGUCUAUGGUUGACCCUGGACCGAUGCUCACCCCUACUAAGAACUCAAUUUCCCGUUGGAGUCGAUGACGAGAACACCUAAAGGGAAAUUCUUUAUUUUUUUCACCGAUACAAAAAACUAAGUACUUAGUCUUCAUUCGUUUCACAUAAUAUAAAUUAUUUGAAAAAUAUUUUCCUUAAAAUAUUUAUUCAUAUUACUUACAACAAGUAAUUAAUAAAAGUAUUUUCAUUGUCUAUAACAAUUUACAUCUAAAUAUUUUCAUGACAAUGAAAAUAUUUUUUAUUUAUUCAUUAUUAUAAGCAAUAUAAGAUAUUAUUAUUAAGAAAAUAUUUUCUAAAUCAUUUAUUUUUCGCGAAACAAACUUACAUUUAAACUCAUGUCUAGUCAAGGAAGCUCAUGCCUCAUGUCAUACUUGAAAUUUCGGGUUUUCUUUUGCGACAUAAAUAUUGGUUGAGUUACCACUAGGCCCUCACAAUAUGUUAACCUCCAAAUUUAACCAACAUAAGUAAUAUUUCAUUUCAUGACAAGUAAAGAUGAUCACAAUCCAUAAGAAAGUUGGAUAUUACGUAAAUGUUAGGGCAAAACUAACUCUUAAAACACAUCUUGAAAAGCAGGGGUGCGCAAGCAUAGUGCCCCCUCAAUGCAUUCUACACGACCUCCGACCGAACGUAGGUUUCGUCCCCAAGUACAUAAAUUCUUGGGAAGUCCUUUUUCUUAUUAAUUUAGACAGGCGCAUCUAUUUUAGACGUGAAUGAUACUACAAUUUAUUUUGGUUGAGUGGGUUGCACUUGCAUGUAGUUUCCAGUUUACUUGUCAAACGAACAAAUUCCUCCAAGUCCCACGUGCAGAAUCUAUAUUAUUUUAAAUUUUCGGUAGGCAAAAAGCAGUUCAAAAUUCAAAUUAUUUUUCCUUGGGUCGGACCUUCAAAAUAUAUGCGGUAAAUUGCCCCGUAUGAUCGAUAGGAGGAAAAAAAAAGAACUCUUUUCCACAAUUACAAUUAGGGCCUGUUUGUUUUCACUUCUUUUUUCUGUUUAAAAACUGUUUUUUGCGUUUUUUUUUUGUUCCUGCGAACAAAAAAGGAACAUAAACGCAUUUGUUUGCGUUUUUGUUCCAAAUCUAUUUUUUUGUACCCAGAAAUACAUUUGGAAUAGAAACAAGAAACAAAAAAAAAAAUUUGGUUUCUUGUUUGUGGAACAAAAUUUAGGAACACUUUUUCUCUCUCUUCCAUUUUAUUCUCUUUUUUCUUCUUCUUUUUUCUUUCUUUUUUCUUUGGCCGGUCGUCGGCCUCGGCCAUGGCCGGCGACGCCGUCGAGGGCCGGCGACCUUGCUGGAGCGUCGCCGGCCCCCAACGAGGCCGAGCGUCACCGACCUCGCGCCGAGCUAGGCGAGCUCAAGCUCGCCCAGCCAAGGCAAGGCCGAGCCUCGCCCAGCUACGACGAGGCUUGGCCUCGCUGGGAGCUAGCAAGCCUCGCCGUGGCUGGCGAGGCCCCCGGCCCUCGUCGGCCAUGGCCAAGGUCGGCGAUCGGCCAAAAGAAGAAAAAAGAAAAAAGGAAAAAGGAAAAAGAAAAAAAAGAAAAAGGAAAAAUAAAUAAGAAAAAUAAGAAAGAAAAUAGAAACAAUAAAAUAAAAAUAUUAAAAAAAUAAAAAAAAUAAAAAAAAUAAUAUAAAUUUACCAAACGUGCUUCUAUUCUUUUUAUAUUUCUUUUUUUGUUCAAAAAUUGUUUCCUGAAGCAGAAAUAUUUUUUUCUAUUUUUGUUCCCAGAAACAAUUUUUAAACAGAAAUGUUACUAAAAAUUUUGUUUGUCAAUGAUUGAAAAGUAAUUUAAAAUAAAAUUUUCAAAUUUCGACAUCCAACAAAUCUGAAACAUGAAUGACAAGAGGGGCAAAAUAGCACAAGAUAAACAUUCUCAAGCAUAGACAUUGGGAAGGUUGAAGAGACGGGACAGAGAUAAGAAUUCGUGAAGAUUGAUGGCUCCCUAGAGGCAUACUAGGCGGUAUUGCCGCUAGAGACGAACCCGAAAAAUUGGUUGCUCUUAUUGAUCUGGAAACCAAUCAAUGGAAUGUGACUUUACUACAACAUCAUUUUGAUGCCGAAACUACAACGGAAAUACUCAAGAUCCCGGUAAGGCCUAAUUAUAUAGCAGAUCAGCUCAUUUGGACAAAUAUAAUUCAUGGUGAGUAUACCAUGAAAAGCGGUUAUCAUUUUGUACGGCAAGCAAACCCUAGUAUUAAUGAAAACAGAGCAUCAUCUUCAUAUCAAACACCAAAGCUCCUUUGGAAAAACAUAUGGAAACUCAAACUCCCUCCCAAAAUCAGGCUUUUCCUUUGGUCAAUAUGCCAAAAUGCUCUACCCACUAAAGCCAACCUCUUCCACAGACGCAUCAGUUUAGAUUUAGUUUGUACUUUACACUCAGCUCAACAACCAGAAACAAUGGAACACCUAUUUUUAUUCUAUCCAUGGACAUCCAAAGUUUGGUCUCAUCCUCAAAUUAGCAUUUGUAUACUACCCACAGAAAUCCAUCGUAUAGAGGCCUGGAUUAUAAAUCAAUUUGAAAAAAGGAACAUCUUACCUGGUAUGGAGCUUAUCGCUACAAUCUUAUGGCAAAUUUGGAAGGUGUGCAACAAGUCCAUCUUUUGCCGAUAGAGUCCAGAUCCCUCCUAUGUUGUGGCUGCAGCACUCGCCCAAGCUCGAACGACACAAGUUGCUUCUGUCCAUGCAGCGGGAUCAGCUCAAAGUAACCUAGAUCCAGCCACAACUUGGAGGCCACCCAAUCCCAGAGCCCUAAAGAUCAACAUUGAUGGGGCUUUUCAGCCAGGAAGCACCACUAGAUCAAUAGCAUACCUCUGUCGCGACCAUAUAGGUAAAUUGAUCGAGGGCUUUACUAGAGAUGUACCUGCUUCCUCGGCGUUGUAGGUGGAGUUCCAGGCGCUGAGUUUAACCCCACAUCACCUGCUGCGAUCCGACAAGACUCGGGAUCACCUUCUAAUUGAGUCGGACUAUCUCGCAAUGGUUGAAGCAAUGCAAGAUCUUCAAGCAAUGCCAUGGGAGGUCAGAUCGCUGCUCGGCAAAGUUGUUGCUCUCCUCCCCUGUUUCCAUCAUCUUCAAGUUAGGUUUUGCAGACGCAAAGCAAAUUUUGCUGCGGAUUGGGCCGCUAAGGCCCAUAGCAAUGGCUCUUUGUCUCCAAAUUAGGCCAUUUUUGCCCCCCCCCCUCCUUUGUUUUUUUUUUUUGGACAAAUAGAACUGCCAUUUACUUACUUAAUGCGGAGACUUACAUAAUACCGAUGGAGAAAGAUCGGCACAUAAAAUAUUCAAGAGAGGAAAGGGGGGAGAAAGCAUCAAAUUACUGGGGAGAGUAUUAAGCCGGUGAUUCCGCACGAUCCAAUCCGCUGCAGCAUUUGCUUGGCGUGGACAAUGAAUUACCGUGAUGUUCUUAUUUUGAGUUAGCCCAUUCCUGCAUUGCUCCACGAUUUCUUUUAGGUUCCAUGGAGGUUCGGCCCGGCCCAUCACCAUUUCUACAACAGCAGAACAGUCACUUUCGAUGAAGCACUUCCCAGUUCGACUUCCUCUGUUCCCCACGUGCAUCGAUUGAAGUUCGUGCGUAUACGUCAAGUCGUGUAAAAUUGCCUCUGCUUCCGCUUCACUUGCCGAAGAAACCCUAGCCAUGGCCGCGAAGCCUUCGAGGGUUCUUCCAUCCGAAUCACGCAUCACGCUCGCGACAGAACAAAGAAAUUCGCCUGGGAGCCAUGUCGCAUCAACGUUUAACUUCAGAUCCUGGCCUUCCGGAGGCCUCCAGUGAGCAGGUUUCUGUCGGUUGAUUAAUCGUUCGUGUCUAUGUGGUUUCCUUCUGCUGAAAGAAAUCUGUUGUUCCUGUGCUAUGCUCAACAGAUCUGCUGGUCUGGGUUCCUUCGCUCGAAAAAUCCAGCUAUUUCUCGCCUUCCAGAUGUUCCACAAGACCAUAGCAGUAAGCUCUCGAGUAGGUGAGUCCAAAUCUUUUCGGAAAGCAGUGAACAGCCAUUGAUCUGUGCGUUUUAUGCUGCUACUUGGUCUGAUCGUUGUAAAUAUUGGGUCUUCCCAGAUCGUCUUGGUCCAUUUGCAUAAGAAUAGGAGAUGUUCUAUAGUUUCUGGGCUUGUAUGAUAGAACGGACAUAGGGGAUCGCUGACUAUUUUCCGUGUGUGUAGGUUUGCUCUCGUGGGAAGAGCAUUUUGACAGAUGCUCCACAGGAAAGUGCGGAUCUUUGGUGGCACGUCAAGACUCCAUAUUUGGGUCCAAAGGGUACGUGGUGCUUGAUAUGAACUAGAGGGACGAUUCUGGUCUGUUUUACUUGUGUUUAUCAGUGCUUUGUUAUAUCCACUUUUGACAGUAUAUUGCCCUGUGCUGUUACCUGUCCAUAUUAGCAUACCUGGCUGUGAUUGUUGGCUUAGGGGGAUUGCCAAAAUCUCUUUUGCAACAUUUUCUUCGUAAAGUUGAUGAAUAAGUUGUUGUUUCCACUCUCUAGAAUCAGCAUUGAUCAAUUCGGACACUAGAGUAGGUUUUGUUUGGUUUCCUUCCCCGCUAAUUACUCCUUGUGAAAGCCAUUUGUCUUCUUUGAUACGUAUAGAAGUACCAUCCCCUACUGACCAUUUAAUGUUGUUCUUUAUGGUGUCUCUACCUAGCAUUAAGCUGUGCCAGCCCCAUGAUGGUCGAUGUCCCUUUGAUGCUGUCCAGAUAUCGCCUUUGGGGAAAUAAAUCCCUUUCAACACUCUGCUCCAUAGAGCUGAUGGGGAAGUGGCUAAUCUCCAGGCUUGCUUGCCUAGCAUGGUUCUAUUAAAGGUAAGCGGAUCUUUAAACCCAAGUCCCCCUGCAUCUUUUCGAGUUUUCAAAACUUCCCAUCUUUUCCAAUGCAACCCUUUUUUAGCAUCUCCAUUCUGCCACCAAAAUGACGCAAUACGUUUUUCAAUGGCUCUUCAGAUAGACACGGGCAGCUUGAAUAUUGACAUUGCAUAAGUAGGACCUUCUUUUUUUCAGACGCUAUUGAAGCGGGUUGUACUGCUUCUUUCUACUAAAUGCAAUGUCUCUUUUCGACCCAAAAAAAAAGAAAAAAAAAAGCAUAGACAUUAGGAUUCACCAAUAGGUAUUCCUCAACAAUUUUGUAUAAUCCUACGGCCUUGACUUUGCCUUGCUUGACGUGCUCUUCUUUAAGCUCAACGCUUGCUUUGGCGUGGUAUUCGCUAGUCAUCUUAUAAAUACACUCUCCAUUACUUGAAGCUUCAAACUUAACUUCGUAAAUGAUCUCGUAGAUGACUGACUCGAUCUUGUCGAAGAUUGCAUCACCCUUGAUCAGAGUAUACUUGCACAAGAAGUUGCUAGUAUCAAGAGAAUCGAACCUGUGCUUCAAAUACUUCAAGUGCCCCCUGUCAUGCCAUUUGCAUUAACAACAACGAUUGAAUUAACUGAAGUCUACAUAAUAAAAGGAUGUUCAUGAAAUCGCUUUUACUGAAUAUGUGUGCAUAAGAUUCGAUGCUAACUUUCAACAAAGUUGGUCUGUUUAAUGCUUAUGACACCUCCAUCGCCUUUGACAGACUCAAUGCUCUUGAUAUACUGGGGAGUGAUCUUGGGAAUGAGAUUGCGUGAAUCAAUUUUAAGAGCUUUGAACAUCUUAGAAGGGGCAAUGGAGGCAGUAAAUUCUUGGGUAUAGCUAGUGACUACCAUUUCCAAGAUGUGGAUGAAGGGGAAGAGAAUUAAGAGUAUUUUAAAAGGAUUACUCGUAAGUCUCAAUGGAAGAGGUUUGGUUUUGCGUUGAUGAUUUUCAGAGAGCAUCUAGGUGGUAUUUAUGGAGGAGAGUGAUCGAUAUAGGUCAAUUGUUUUGGUACAUUCAGAUUCAAAGAGUACUCCACAUUGGACCAUAAGGGUCUGCUUGGUAAUCAUCCCAACAGUGCCAAAUUCUAAUUUUUUUUUGUUCCCAAGAGUAGUUUUAGAAAAGAUGGUAAAAUUUUUAUUCUCGAGAAUAAAUGUCUAAUUUUUUGUUCCCAAAAGUUCAUUUGGAGCAGAAUCAAGAAUAGUAAUAAAAAAAAGAAGUUAAUUCUUGUUCCCGGGAACAAAUUUAAAAAUCAACCCAUUUUCUUCUUCUUCUUCCCUUUUCUUCUUCCUAAUCUAUCGCCACCGCCAUGGUUGCUAUCCACCACUAUUCGCUGCCCACCAUUGCCGGUCGCCGCUGAUUGCCACUGUCUGCCACCCACUGCCACCAGUCGCCGACAACCGGUUCCACGAGAUCGCCAGGGCGAGGUCCAGUUGAUAUUGCUAGUAUGAGUACCUAUAGGGGGGUGAAUAGGUAUAUAAAGAAUUUUUCUCAAGCAAUUGCACAAUACUAGACAGUUGGAGGAAACGAUAAUCAAAGUAAGACUGAGAGAAGAGAAAAUUGAACACGCGGUUUAUAGUGGUUCAGCUUAUAUCAAGCCUACGUCCACUCUUCUUCACUAACAGCCUAUUGGCUGGAUUCCACUAUGAACAAGAGAGAGGUUACAGCACAGUUUUGUCUUGAUUCCACAGUAUAGAUGUUCUACCACACCUCCUCAAGAUUUCUCACAAAUAUAGACUCUCUCUUUCGUAUACAAGUAUUCGCUCAAAGGAUUUGUCUAAACAAAAAAGGAGCUUCAGACUUUGAAAUUCUUCUAUCGCGCACGCCUUGAACAACUAAGACAGUCUUCCUUAUAUACUCCUUUAUGCCAUCAUACCCGUUGGCACUUACCAAAUGAAUUCCUCCAAUCUACCCGUUGGACGGAAUCAAUUAGGAAGAUUGUUCAAGCUAUUAAAGGAAUGUGUUGAUAGCCCAUCAAUCAUGUUUGCCCAUACAAUCAGGAUCUCGGUUUCCAUAAGUAGAACCUUCCAAUAAUAUUUAGGCAAUCGCCGGAUCUUCAAUUAUCGAAUCAAUCUUCGAUCAAUCAAAGGACUCUGUUUAUGUCUUCUCCAGCCAUGAGAUCUUCUCCAGUUGAUAAGGUUAAAUCCUUAACGAAACAUCCAGUUCUGGAUAACCUUUCUUCAACGGAUUAGUGACUGUCAAUGAGGAUAGACUUUGAGUCUUGAGUCUGGCUGUUCCAAGGUCUUCAGACUUUAAAUAGCAUAGUCUGCAAGCCUUCAGACUAGACUGAUAGAAACGAUUUGUCAACUUCAAAACACUUCAAGAAGAUUUCUCCAACAAUCUCCCCCUUUUUGAUGGUGACAAAACUUUCCUGCAGAUUUGGAUAUCUUUGACCUGCAAAACAUUUCUCAAACACAUAUGCAUAUCUUAUAGAGAUAAAUGGCUAACAGAAUAACACUAGAAUCUGCAACCACAGAAAAUAGGUUAGUCAAUAUAUGAUGAAGCCAUUUAUAAGAUAUCAAUAUUGGUUAAUAGAAGCAGUCAAGUCCAAGUCUAGUUCAGUUCUCAUCCAGACACAAACCAAAGUCAAACAGAUUCGAACCACAAAACAAUCCAACAAACAAUUAAAAGUUUAAUGAAUGAAAGGUUUUUGAUCAAAUCUUGCAUAUCUCCCCCUUUUUGUCAUCAUUAAAAAGGAUGAGAUGAAGUUAAGAUUGCUUGGGAACGCGGAUAAGCUGGAAAUCUUCCAUAGACUGAACGAUGCCUUCCAGCCUUUUAAAGUCUUCCUUUAGCUGUGCAAUCUCCUCACUCUUGGCAUUGGCCUGAUUUUGAACAGAGAGGGCUUGCAUUUUAGCAUUCAAUGAACAGGAAGAAGCUUGACCUUCAUUCUUCAAGCUUUGAACUUCGCAUCCCAAGGCAUAAAUCUGACAUCGCAUCUCCAAAAGAAUAUCCAUGAUUCUGCGAAAAUCUGCUCCAUUAUCAAUUUGAGUACUUGCUUCGGCUCGAUCUGAUGGAGUAAAUGCAAACGAUGGUAGAUCAGCAUAGUCUUGCAGGUUUGGCGAUGAAACUUCAUGACCUUCUUCUGGAAAUUGAGAUGCAUAAACAUCCUCUGGGUCUGCUGGUGAGCGACUGACUCCUUCACUUGCAUCAGGACAUGAAGACUUCACACCUUUCUCCUGAUCUCCCCCUGUUUCCAUGCCUACAGGUGGAGAAGAGUGUUCUUCAGGUUCUCCUUCUUCUCUUCUUUCUUCUUCAGGUCUUUCCUCCUCUGUUUCUUUUUCAGCUUCUAUUUCUUCUUCUUCCUUCUCCUCUGCUUCUUUCGUCAUUUGCUCCGAUUCUUUCUGUGGAACAGGACGACUUAAAUUCUUCAAAGCCAAUGCAGAGAUGGUGAUGUAUUCCUCAUCAUCUUCAUCCUCAACAAGGAGAGCUCUUCUUCUCUUGGAUGGAGCAACCAUGGGCUCCUUCACUUUUCUUUUAGCUACAGAAGAUAUUUGAUGAGAUUUUGCAGGAGUCUUCUCCUUGAAUUUCUCCAACUCCUUGCUCAGUUCCUUCAGACGCAUUUUGGUCACCAUUUUCAGACCUACCACCAUAUGAUCGCAUGGUCGAACACAAAAGAUUUGUGGAGGCUGAUUAUUCAGAUGUCUGAAUAACUUCGUAACAAGGCUUGGGUAAGGGAGUUGACCUCUGUCCUUCAUCAUUGCUCUAUACAUGUGAAACAUCACAGUGUGAGGGAGAGAAAACCUUUUUCCAAAGACAAUGGCAUACAUCAGCUUGGCAUCUGAACUUGAAACAUCAGUCUUGGAAGUUGAUUUCGGUCGGAGGCAAUUAAUCACAAUCUUGUGAAGCAAGAUGUUGAAUGCACCCAUCCUUAAGUAGGUGAUCUUUUCAUCUGUUCUCCUGUCCUUCACCAGUUCAAGAGUGGCCCGAGCAAUGGAAACUUUGAUUGGUUGAUAUCUUCCUCUUUCGACUUCUAACACAUCUGCCAGCAUAUUCAUAUCCACAACAUAAUCUUGGUCUUUAACGCUGAACGAGAAUCUAUUCGCAUCCAAAAAGCUUAGAUUUGAAUAGAAAUAUGCAGUUAAUUCAGCAUGGGCCUCUGUAGAGUCAGAGCAGAACUUUUCAAGUUGAAGAUAACUGAACUUUUCCCUCAAGUUCAUAUUCACAGCAUCCAGAAAAUCAAAAUCUACACUCCUAAGGUUUAUUACCCCACGCUUCAGCAAUUUCGAGUACAAAUCCUUUUGCUCAUUUGAUCUGAACAAAUCUCCCUUUUUUCCUUGAUUAUCAACCGCAACACCCAUUUUCGGUUGGAAUUGACUGUAUAAUUUAUCAUCAUCAUUCCCAUCUACAGGAUUCGGCCCCCAGUCACGAGGAUCACUUGGGAUAUUUGCAAGGGUUUCCUCAGCCACCCCUUUUCGAGCAAUUCCCAAACUUUCCAUUUUUUUUCAAAAAGAUAUAUUCGUUCCCAUGUCAUUUGUCUUUAAAAAAAUCAUCAAUGUAGUUCAAAGGAGUACGAAUUCCUUUUAGGGCACGAUAUAACUAGUAAAUAUAAGCGGGCUUUUAAACUCUUACAGGGUCUGCAUCCUCAAUGAUUUCUUCCUGUUGAUGAUGAUCAAUGCCUUGAGGACUAGAUGGAGGAGAAUGACGCUGUUGAGAAUGUUGUGGGCUCGCUUGCUGUUCUGGAGUCACUUCAUCUUCAGUAAGAUCGAAGUGCGUAGGCCCCUCACUCAUCCGCCGUGGUCCCCUGCUUGCAAUCCUCGAAGACUUUCUUGAAGAUGACAUCUUUCUCAGUUUUUGGAAGAUUUCUUGCUUGACUUUCCCAGGAAAGAUGACAACUUUUUGAGGAUUAAACGAAGAAGACAAACGGGAAUGGAGGAUCGAUGCUUUCUAGGGUUUGAGAAAAGUGAAGAGGAAUCGACAGUUCACGAUCAGUUAAAAAGAGGGAUAAACGAACCGUCAUAAAGGAAAUAAAAAUAUGCCUUUUCAAAAUAACUGUCUUUUUCCGCAAAAAUAGCCAUUUCAAAAAUAACUUCCCUUUUGAAAAUGAAAGGAUGCAAUAUUUACGUCAAUUAAAUAUAGCAACAAUUUAAACACAGUCUGACGAUCGUACAUUUUCAAGAUGAGAUUCAAGAGAGAAAGACUUACAGUCUGACGGACGUACCAAGACUGUCUUUCAGAUAAAGUCUUGUAAGUCUGAGUCUGAAAGUCUUUAGACUUUGAUAUCCUCAUACCCCAAAAUGUUGAGUCUGGAGCGUAUAGACUCAAAUUGAUUUUUCUCCAAAGGCUUUGUGAAUAUAUCCGCCAGUUGAUUCUUUGAGUCAACAAAUUGAAUUGAAACAUCUCCAUUUUGAACAUGGUCUCUAAUAAAGUGAUGUCGAAUCUCUAUAUGCUUUGCUCUUGAGUGGAGAAUUGGAUUUUUGGUAAGGUUGAUAGCGCUGGUGUUGUCGCAAUUAAUCUCCGUGCAUGAGUCUUCAAUUUCAAAGUCUCUUAGCUGUUGUUUUAUCCAUAGAAUUUGCGAACAGCAGCUUCCCAGGGCUACAUACUCUGCUUCUGUUGUUGAAAGAGACACAGUGCUUUGUUUCCUUGAAAACCAAGACAUUGUCCUGCUUCCAAGCAACUGGCAGGUUCCCGAAGUGCUCUUUCUAUCAACUCUGCAACCGGCCAAAUCUGCGUCUGAAUAUCCCAGAAGAUUAAAGUCUCCCUUCUUAGGAUACCAAAGACCGAUGCUUGAUGAUGAAGCAACGCAUUUAAUGAUGCGUUUCGCAGCACUGAGAUGAGAUUCUCUAGGAUCUGAUUGAAACCUUGCACAGAUGCAAACACUCAACAAAAUGUCAGGUCUAGAAGCAGUAAGAUAAAGAAGUGAACCAAUGAUGCUCCUAUACAGCUUUUGAUCAACUUUCUUCCCUUCUUCAUCUUUGUCUAUCUUCAAAGAACUUGACAUCAGUAUGUCGGUCUUUUUGCACUUUUCCAGUCUAAAUCUUUUGACAAGAUCAUUAACAUAUUUUUCUUGAUAAAUAAAAGUUCCUUCCUUCAAUUGUUUUACUUGAAGACCAAGAAAGAAUGUUAACUCUCCCAUCAUACUCAUUUCAAAUUCAUCCUGCAUAGACUUAGAAAAUUUCUUGCACAGAUUUUCAUUAGAAGAUCCGAAAAUAAUGUCAUCCACAUAUAUUUGAACAAGUAAGAAACUUUUGUUCUCCUUUUUAAUAAAUAAAGUCGUAUCUACUUUAUCUUUGGCAAAACCAUUUUGUAUUAAAAACUUACUUAAUUUGUCGUACCAAGCUCGAGGUGCUUGCUUUAAACCAUACAAAGCCUUUUUCAGUCUAAAGACUGAGUCUGGUUUCUUUGGGUCUUCAAACCCUGGUGGUUGUUCCACAUAAACUUCCUCUUGGAUAAAUCCAUUUAGGAAGGCGCUUUUGACAUCCAUUUGGAAUAACCUGAAAUUCUUAUAACAAGCAAACGCAAGUAACAGUCGAAUAGCUUCUAACCUUGCUACUGGAGCGUAAGUCUCAUCAUAGUCUAUUCCUUCUUCUUGCGUAUAUCCCUUGGCCACGAGUCUUGCUUUGUUUCGUACAACUUUUCCUUUCUCAUUCAUCUUGUUUCUGAACACCCAUUUAGCUCCAAUAAUAGUUUUACCUUUUGGUUUGGAUGUCAAUUCCCAGACAUCAUUAAUGCUGAACUGUCUAAGCUCUUCUUGCAUAGCCUCAAUCCAGCUUUCAUCAGAUAAAGCUUCUUCUAUGCUUUUUGGUUCAAUUUCAGAAACAAGAGCCACAGCACUAGACUAUUCUCGCCUUUUGGAUCUGGUGUGAAUUCCUUCAUUCAUUUCGCCGAUUAUAAGAUCUUUGGGAUGACUGGACUUAUGCUUCCAGUUACUCGUUGAUCUGUCUGGUUGAUGAUCUCUUUCUUUGUUUGGAUCUUCACGAACAUCCUGAAGCUGGUUUUCCAGAGUCUGAGAUGCUUCUUGAGUUGUAAGCUUUGGAAGAUCUGGAGCAGGUUCAGACUCUUCUUGAUGAGUCUGACUUGAUUCAUCUUGUGUUGAGUCUUGAAAUUUGACAUUCAUUGACUCCUCCACAGACUGGCUCUUCUUGUUAUAGACUCUGAAGGCUUUGCUUGAUGUAGAAUAUCCAAGGAAGAUACCUUCAUCUGAUCUUUCUUCAAACUUACCAACUCGAUCAUUUGCAUUUUUCAAUAUAAAACAUUUGCAACCGAAUACAUGAAAGUAUGAAACAAUAGGCUUCUUAUCUUUGAACAAUUCGUAAGGUGUUUUCUCUAGAAUAGGUCUUAAGAAGACUCUAUUGAUGAUAUAACAUGCUGUUGAAACAGCUUCAGCCCAAAAUCGUGAAGAAAUCUUGCUUUCAAUUAAAAGAGUUCUAGCCAUUUCCUGAAGAGAUCUGUUCUUUCUUUCCACAACUCCAUUUUGCUGAGGAGUAUAUGGAGAGGAGAACACAUGAUUAAAGCCAGAUUCAUCACAAAAUUUUGUAAAAUCUUGAUUUUCAAAUUCACCUCCAUGAUCUGUUCUUAUACUUGAGAUAACACAUCCUUUUUCAUUUUGAACCUUUUUAGCAAACUUUUCAAAAUACGAGAAGGUUUCAGACUUACUUGCAAGGAAAUAUACCCAAGUAAAACGGGAGUAAUCGUCCACAAUUACUAGGCAAUAUUUCUUACCUCCAAUACUCUGUGUUCUGGUUGGUCCGAAGAGAUCCAUAUGCAGCAACCGUAGUACAUGAUUAGUAGAGACAUGAUUUAUUGGCUUAAAUGAAUUUCUUACCUGCUUUCCCAGAAUACAUGGAGUGCAUGGAUCAGUCUUUUGAUAAGGUAAUUUGGGUAGUCCUCGAACAAGCUGUUUUGAUGAGAUUUUGGCUAAUUGCUUCAUGUUGACAUGACCAAGCUUUCUGUGCGAUAAGCUUCCUUUGUCUUGAAUUGAGAUAAAACAUUGCGAUUCAUUUGGUUUCACAUCCAGAAGAUAAAUGUUUCCAUGUCUACGACCCAUGAAGGACUGAGUAGAGUCUUUACUAAUUCUAGAACAUAUUCCUUCUUGAAAGAAGAUCUUGAAACCAGUAUCACACAAUUGACUAAUGCUAAGAAGAUUGUAAUUGAGUCCUUCCACUAAGGAAACAUUACUUAUUGUGAGAUUUCCAAUUUUCACAGUUCCAAAUCCUACAAUACUCCCUUUGUUGUUUCCUCCAAAUGAAACUUUUCCACCAUUUACUUGAGCAAUCUUUAUAAAACAAUUUGAGUCUCCUGUCAUGUGUCUUGAGCAUCCACUGUCAAGAUAACACUUUACCUUUUUCUUGACGGUGACCUGCAUUUAAAAAAGAGUCUCAAGCUUUCUUUGGUACCCAAACUUUCUUGGGUCCUUUGGUGUUAGUAACAUAAGCAGUAUUAGCCCAUAAUUUCUUAACAGGUUUCUAAACCAUAGGACACUCUUUUUCAAAGUGAUCCGGACUGUUGCAUUUUGAACAUCUGAGAGUAUUUCUACCUACAGAUUUUACAAAAACUUUCUUGAAGUGAUUUUUGUAAACCUCUUUCGAGAGUCUUUUCUUAAUUCUUUCUUUUACUUUAGGAAAAUCAAUCAAGGGAAUUGUUUCUGCUGUCAUACCUAGACCGGACUUAUUGAAGUAAGGUCUUUGAGCUGAAAGAAUUUUCUCAAGUUUUUCAGACCCUAUUGAAAAUUUCUUUGAGAUAUUUGAUAAGUCUGUUUUUAAAAGAGCAUUUUCUUUUAAAAGAUUAUCUUCAUUUUCUUUAAGAAUGGAAACAGUCAAGUCUAGAUUUUUAACUCUUUUUACUAAAACAUUUUCCUUUUGCUUUAGAGCUGAGUUUUCCUUUUUCAGUUCAGAAAUUCUUUUGAGAGAAGUCUUAAGACUGAAACACAGUUCAUCAAUGUAUUUAGAAACUUUGACAGGAAUUUUAAAAUUACUUGCCUCAAAUUCACUGUCUGAGUCUGAGUCUAAUUGUGCCAUCAGACAUAGAUUGGCAUAUUCAUUAUCACUUUCUUCACACUCUAUGUCACUCCAGGUUUCGGCUUUGAGAGCUUUUCGAAAUCUUUCAGCUUUUCCUUUCUUCUUCUUCAGAAGAGGACAGUUGGGUCUGAUAUGUCCCAUUUUCUUACAUUCAAAGUAGACUAUGUCUUUGUUUGGUUCCUCAUCAUCAACAGACUUGGUCUGCUGUCUUUGAAAGCUUUGUUUCUUUGAGUUGAACCUUCUUCCUUUUCUAUUCAGUUUUCUGAAUCUUCUUAUCAUGAGAGCAAGCUCCUCAUCGUCCAUAUCUUCUUCAGAAUCUGUAUCAUCAGAAUCAUCAUUUGAUUUUAAUGCAAUGGAUUUCUUACCUUUUGGAUCUUCAUCUUCAUUGAUCCGUUCCACUUAAUAAGACUGAAGAGUUCCAAUUAGCUCGUCGACAGAUAGUGGCAUAAUUCUUUGCAUCUGAUAACUCUAUAAAAAUAGAGUUAUUUUACCUAUUUUAGGCAACAAUUAAUGCAUUAUCUAUGAGAAAAUAUUUGAAUUUCCUUCUGAUUAUUUAAAUUUUCCUUGUUUAUGCAGAAUAAUGAGAUAUGGAGAAGAUAAGGAAAAGAAGGGCAAUUAUCAGGAAUUCAAAUAAAAGCAGCGAUGGAAGAUGGAUAUCAAAUCAGGAAAUUCUUGAUUUUGUUCCCUAAUGUUAUCUACAAGUAGAUAUUUUAGAUUUCCUAUAAAUAGGAAGAGAGAGCAGCUAGGGUUGAGAGGGGGGGUUAGAUUGUUUUUCAUUCUUCUGAGAGUUUUUCAAGUAUUAUGAAGAGAAGACAAAAGUGGUGAUAGAAUUCUUGUCCUUUGAUUCAAGAUGCUGGGUUUGAUCUAUAUUUUUAUUUCUAUUUUUAUUUCUUAUUCUACUAUGUUCUAAUUUUCUUUUGUUAGGGCUACGAUGUAGCCUAACCAUGAUGAUAUGAAUUUCAUGAUUUUUAUGUUUUACAAUUGAUUUCAUUCAUGUGAGUUAUAUAUUAUUGCGUUUAAUGCUUUUGAGUGACUGGCCACCACUUGAAUGAUCUGAUAUGCAUGUUUAAGACUGAGAGGUGAUAAUAUGCAAUUGCUCAUUAUAAUAUAUAACCAUGAAUUAAACGUGGAUAGAAAUAUACCGCGUUAUUUGUGUAGCUUUCGGUGAUAAGGUGAUCCAAAAGACUCAUUGUAAACCGAGAAUAUUCAUAGUUUUUAAUGCACUCAUGUUUAUUUUAAUUCACAUAGAGAUAUAGUGGAUUAAUAAGCUGAGUAGUUUUGCUAUACCUAGAGAUAGGAUAGUAAAUAGAUUAGGAAAUUCUGCUAUCACAUGUUUGAUAUCGUUAUUGUAUUCACAACAAUCUGAAAUUCAUAUAUAGUGGUUAUGGUGAAAUCGGAUGCUCUAACAUAUUUAUUUGAUUGAUUUUACUGCAUUUAGUCUACAAAUUUCGUUUUUAAUUCAUUCUUAAUUAUAUUUUGAUUUGUUAGAUAAAUUUUAGAAUUAGUCUAUUUUAGUAUUUAAUUGGUUUAUUAAUCAUCGAUCUCCGUGGGACGAUACUUUAUCUCAUCAUUAUAUUACUUGUUCGAUACGUGCACUUGCGUUUAGAAUUUUACGAACAAGUUUUUGGCGCUAUAACCAUGAAUUAAACGUGGAUAGAAAUAUACCGCGUUAUUUGUGUAGCUUUCGGUGAUAAGGUGAUCCAAAAGACUCAUUGUAAACCGAGAAUAUUCAUAGUUUUUAAUGCACUCAUGUUUAUUUUAAUUCACAUAGAGAUAUAGUGGAUUAAUAAGCUGAGUAGUUUUGCUAUACCUAGAGAUAAGAGAGUAAAUAGAUUAGGAAAUUCUGCUAUCACAUGUUUGAUAUCGUUAUUGUAUUCACAACAAUCUGAAAUUCAUAUCUAGUGGUUAUGGUGAAAUUGGAUGCUCUAACAUAUUUAUCUGAUCGAUUUACUGCAUUUAGUAUACAAAUUUUGUUUUUAAUUUUUUCUUAAUUAUAUUUUGAUUUGUUAGAUAAAUUUUAGAAUUAGUCUAUUUUAGUAUUUAAUUGGUUUAUUAAUCAUCGAUCUCCGUAGGACGAUACUUUAUCUCAUCAUUAUAUUACUUGUUCGAUACGUGCACUUGCGUUUAGAAUUUUACGAACAAGUUUUUGGCGCCGUUGCCGCGGAUCGUUUGUUUAAUACUAAUUAAUAUUGAUACCAGAUAAUUCUAAAUUUAAUCUAGCUUUCGUUUUGUUUUAUUUUUCAGGGUGUACAUCAGUUUAUGACACGUAGCCAACAAGGGAAACUUGUUGAACUUGAUCCAGAAAUCGAGCGUACAUUCAAAAGGCGACUAAGAGAACAGAAAAAUCACGCUAAGAUGGCAGACGGUGAUAAUGAAAAUCCACGUAGACUCUUAAGAGAUUGUGCUGCGCCAACAGUUCAAGGCACCACAUCAAGUAUCAGAAGACCUGCAAUUCAAGCAAACAACUUUGAGAUUAAGCCGUCACUUAUUCAGAUGCUUCAACAAUCAGUGCAAUUCAGUGGGCUACCAAGCGAUGAUCCAAACGCUCAUAUCGAUGCUUUUCUUGAAAUCUGUGACACCAUUAAAUAUAAUGGAGUUACAGAUGAUGCUAUUAAAUUGAGAUUAUUUCCAUUCUCUCUUAGAGAUAAAGCUAAAAGUUGGCUUUCUUCUCUUCCUGCAGGAUCAAUUACUACAUGGAAUGAUAUGGCUCAGAAAUUUCUUGGUAAGUUCUUUCCACCUGCAAAGUCUGCGAAGAUGCGUAACGAUAUUACUAAUUUUAUGCAGAUGGAUAAUGAAUCAUUAUAUGAAGCAUGGGAAAGAUUCAAAGAAUUUCUUAGGAGAUGCCCACAUCACGGACUACCCGUAUGGAUGCAAGUACAAACUUUUUAUAAUGGCUCUAGUGCAAAUCUUCGUUCUAUGAUUGAUGCAGCUGCAGGGGGGACUUUAAAUAAUAAAACACCAGAAGAAGCCUACAAUUUAUUAGAAGAGAUGGCGUCCAAUAAUUUUCAGUGGCCUACUGAGAGAUUACCAAUGCGAAAAGUUAGCGGAGUUCAUGAAGUGGAUGCUUUUGCUGCAAUUGCUGCACAAUUUGAAGUAAUCAACAAAAAGCUUGAUAAUAUGGGUGUUUCAGCCAUGAAAAUUCACACUUUGACAUGUGAUUUUUGUGGUGGGGGACAUGUUAGCACAGAGUGUCAGGUAGGUAAUACUUUCAAACAACCUAGUGAAAAUUCUAACUUUGUUGGGAAUUUUAACAGGUCACAGAAUAAUCCCUACUGCAACACAUACAAUCCAGGAUGGCGCAAUCAUCCAAAUUUUUCAUGGAAUAAUCAGAAUGUGACGAGACCACCUGGAUUCAAACAAUCAGAAGAGACAAAGUCAAAUUUGGAAGACAUAGUCACCAAACUUGCUAACACAACUCAUGACUUCAUCAAAAGCAUGGAUGUGAGAUUUCAAAACCAAGAGGCUUCAAUCAGAAAUCUGGAGAUGCAAGUGGGUCAGUUAGCAAGCAUGAUGUCAGGAAGGCAACAGGGUUCUUUGCCAAGCAACACAGAGAAAAAUCCAAUUGAAAACAUAAAGGCUAUUACCUUGAGAAGUGGUAAACAAGUAGGAGAAGAAGAGAUUUCCAAAGACAAAGAAGAGGUGAUCAAUAAACAAUCAAAGGAGACAAGCAAGAGUAAACUUUUUCCAGAUAAUCCCAAGCCAUAUGUGCCGCCAAUUCCAUUCCCUCAGCGACUCCAGCAGCACAAAAUAGAUAAGCAAUUUUCUAAAUUUCUUGAUGUAUUUAAAAAAUUGCACAUUAACAUUCCUUUUGCAGAUGCUUUAGCGCAAAUGCCUAGUUAUGCAAAAUUUUUGGAGGAGAUUUUGGCAAACAAAAGGAAACUGGAGGAUUAUGAGACUGUGAAGUUAAACGAGGAGUUUUCAGCCAUCCUACAAAACAAAUUGCCUCCGAAAUUAAAAGAUCCAGGGAGUUUUACUAUUCCUUGCACCAUUAGGGAUUCUUACUUUGAAAAAGCAUUAUGUGAUUUAGGUGCAAGUAUUAAUCUGAUGCCUUAUUCUGUUUUCAAGAAAUUAGGAUUGGGCGAGGUAAAAGCAACCACAGUGUCACUUCAACUGGCUGAUCGAUCAAUUAAAUAUCCGAGAGGUAUUGUGGAAGAUGAUUUGGUAAAAGUUGACAAAUUUAUCUUUCCUGCAGAUUUCAUAGUUCUUGACAUGGAGGAAGAUUUUGAGGUACCACUUAUCUUAGGUCGACCUUUUCUAGCAACAGGAAGAGCUCUUAUUGAUGUACAACAGGGGAAGUUGAUCCUUAGAGUUCAAGAUGAUCUUGUUUCAUUUAAUGUUUUUAAAGCAAUGAAAUAUCCAUCUGAUGAUAAUUCUUGUUUUAGAGUUGAGACAGUUGAAAAGUUGGUGAAUAAGGUUUUCCAGGAAAAUAUUUUUGAAGAUCCACUUGAAGCAUGUCUGAUUCAACCAAGGGACAAAGAUAUUCAUAAUGAGGAGAUAAAGGAGUACGCAAAUUUCAUGGAGGCAAUUCCACCAUAUUCAAGGCAAAAGGCAAUUAAAUUUGAAGAGUUGGGGCAACAUAUUACAAAGCCUAAACCAUCAAUUGAAGAGCCUCCAAUUCUUGAACUCAAACCAUUACCUUCUCAUUUGAAAUAUGCUUAUUUAGAUGGAGUUUCUUCUUUACCGGUAAUUAUAUCUUCUUCUUUGACAGAUUUGAUGGAGGAGAAAUUGCUCAGAGUAUUAAGAGAGCAUAAAUGUGCAAUUGGAUGGAAAAUAGCUGAUAUCAAGGGAAUUAGUCCUUCAAUUUGCAUGCACAAAAUUUUGAUGGAAGAGCAAUAUAAACCCACUAUCCAACCUCAGAGGCGUUUGAACCCGAAGAUGCAAGAAGUAGUGAAAAGCUGAGGUAAUUAAGCUACUUGAUGCAGGUAUCAUCUAUCCUAUCUCUGAUAGUUGUUGGGUAAGUCCUGUACAAGUUGUGCCAAAGAAAGGUGGUAUGACUGUUCAAAAAAAUGACAACAAUGAAUUGAUUCCAACUAGAACAGUUACUGGGUGGCGUGUGUGUAUGGAUUACAGAAAAUUGAAUGAUGCCACUAGAAAAGAUCACUUUCCUUUACCAUUUAUUGAUCAGAUGUUAGAAAGAAUUGCUGGGCAUGAAUUUUAUUGCUUUCUGGAUGGAUAUUCAGGGUAUAAUCAGAUUCCUAUUGCACCAGAAGAUCAAGAGAAAACUACUUUUACUUGUCCCUAUGGUACUUUUGCUUUUAGAAGAAUGCCCUUUGGUCUUUGUAAUGCACCAGCUACUUUUCAAAGAUGCAUGAUGGCUAUUUUCUCUGAUAUGGUUGAAAAAUAUAUUGAGAUUUUCAUGGAUGAUUUUUCUGUUUUUGGCCUAUCAUUUGAUUCUUGUUUAAAUAAUUUGGCCUUGGUCUUACAAAGAUGUGAGGAGGCUAACCUUAUUUUGAAUUGGGAGAAGUGUCACUUUAUGGUGCAGGAAGGAAUAGUGCUCGGGCAUAAAAUUUCUCAAAACGGAAUAGAAGUCGAUCGAGCCAAAGUGGAGGUCAUUGCAAAAUUACCUCCGCCAACAUCUGUGAAACUUGUCAGAGGAUUUUUGGGGCAUGCAGGAUUUUACAGGCGAUUUAUAAAAGAUUUUUCAAAAAUUACUAAACCUCUUUCUAAUCUAUUGGAAAAGGAUGCUCCUUUUAAUUUUUCUGUUGAAUGCAUGCAGGCUUUUAACACUUUAAAGGAGAAGUUAAUUUCAGCACCAAUCAUGGCAGCACCAAAUUGGGAUUUACCUUUUGAGCUGAUGUGUGAUGCUAGCAAUUAUGCAGUAGGAGCUGUUUUGGGACAAAAGAAUAAUAAAAUUUUUCGAACCAUAUAUUAUGCCAGUCGAACCUUGUCAGGUGCACAAUUGAAUUAUUCAACAACAGAAAAGGAACUUUUGGCGGUAGUAUUUGCUUUUGAUAAAUUUCGUUCUUAUUUAAUUGGCUUAAAAGUUAUAGUUUAUUCUGACCACUCUGCUCUUAAGUAUCUGCUUGAAAAGAAAGAAUCAAAACCCAGGUUGAUCAGGUGGAUUUUAUUGCUGCAAGAAUUUGAUUUGGAAAUCAAAGAUAAGAAGGGGACUAAAAAUCUAAUUGCAGAUCACUUAUCAAGAAUUCCAAAUUCAAAGGAAGAGGUAAGACCAAUUUUAGAAGAGUUCCCUGAUGAGAAAUUUUUUUUCAUCAAGUCAAUUCCUUGGUAUGCCGACUUUGUAAAUUAUUUGGUAAGUAAUGUUCUUCCUCUUGAAUUAUCAUAUCAACAGAAGAAAAAAAUUCUUUUCUGAUGUUAAAAAUUAUUUUUGGGAAGAACCUUUCUUGUUUAAAGUAUGUGCAGAUCAAGUUAUAAGGAGAUGUGUUCCAGAUGAAGAGAAGGCAAACAUUUUACAUCAUUAUCAUGAUGGAGAGACAGGUGGCCAUUUUGGUGCCACAAAAACUGCAGCUAAGAUUUUACAAUCUGGAUUUUAUUGGCCUACACUUUUUAAAGAUGCAUACUCCUAUGUAGCUUCAUGUGAUAGGUGUCACAGAACUGGAAAUAUUUCAAGAAAAAAUGAGAUGCCUUUAAACAACAUUAUUGUGUGUGAAUUAUUUGAUGUUUGGGGUAUUGAUUUCAUGGGACCCUUUACACCUUCUUAUGGAAAUUUAUAUAUUUUAGUGGCUGUGGAGUAUGUGUCUAAGUGGGUAGAAGCUGUAGCAUUACCAACAAAUAAUGCUAAAGUUGUGGUGAAAUUUUUGAAGAAAAAUAUUUUUACCCGAUUCGGUACUCCUAAAGCAAUCAUAAGUGAUAGGGGGACACAUUUUUACAACAAGCAAUUUGCAGCACUUUUGAGUAAGUAUGGAGUCACACAUAAGGUUGCAACCCCUUAUCAUCCUCAGACUAGUGGUCAAGUAGAGAUUUCGAAUAGGGAAAUCAAGAGAAUUUUAGAAAAAACAGUGAAUGCCUCUAGGAAAGAUUGGUCAAUAAAACUUGAUGAUGCACUUUGGGCUUAUAGGACAGCGUUCAAAACUCCAAUUGGAAUGUCUCCUUUUAGGCUAGUGUUUGGAAAAGCUUGUCACUUACCAGUGGAAUUAGAGCAUAAAGCAUAUUGGGCAUUGAAAUUUCUGAAUUUUGAUAUGCAGUCUGCAGGUGAAGAAAGAUUAUUGCAAUUGAAUGAAUUGGAGGAAUUUCGCAAUGAGGCCUAUGAAAAUUCUAAGUUGUACAAGGAGCGUACAAAAAAAUGGCAUGACAAGCACAUAUUAAGAAGAGAGUUUAAAAUUGGUCAAUAAGUCUUACUCUAUAACUCUCGUCUUAAACUUUUUCCAGGAAAGUUGCGGUCUAGAUGGUCUGGUCCUUUUACAGUUACACAGGUAUUCCCAUAUGGAACAGUUGAAGUUGUGCAUGACACUGAUGGCACAUUCAAAGUGAACGGUCAACGUUUGAAGCCCUACUUUGAAGGUGGUUACAACAAGCAGAAGACCACCAUUGAACUUCAUCCUCCAGAAUAGCGACAUCUGAGAUAGUUUGGCUGAAAACUAUAAAGCAAGCGCUUCUUGGGAGGCAACCCAAGCAUUUUAAUUAUGUUUUUAUUUAUUUUUAAGUUUAUGUUUUGCAAAAAAAAAAAAAAAAAAAAAGAUUAACUUUUCUCUAUUUUAUCCAGGUUAAUUUUUAGGGAGCACCUUUCAAGAGUUUAAUCAUCAAGAUCAUCUAUGGACUUAUCCUACAACCAGGGAAGUUUUCUUCUUCCUAUUCUAUUUUUCGCAUUGAGGACACUGCUUCAUUCAAGUUUGGGGGGGCGACAAAUUUUUUGGAUAAUUUUUUUCAUGAUUGCAUUCUUGGUUGUGAAUUUUUAUGAUUCUUAGGAAAAUUUAAAUUUUAUUUAAACUUGCAAUUUAUGUGUGAGUUAAUCUUAAUUCUGAUUAUAUUGAUCCACUUAUUGAGCACUAAAAGUCCUUACUUUUUGAAUUAUGUGUAAAUCUAGAGAACAUUCAUGUGAAAUAUGUGAUUUUCUUAGAUUUCACCCAAAUCUUAGAAUUUGUUUGAUUUUCUCUUGAAGCGAAAUCCUAAGCUAAAUCUAAUUGAGAAAAUGAUAUAGGCAGUUUUUGGAUCGAUUGAGCCUUUCAAGCCAACCCUAUUUAUUUAUCCCUAGUCACCCCGUUGAGCCUUAAUUAUUACCCAAUUUUUCAUUGGCACCCAUAUAUGUUUAGCCUAGCCGUGAUCAAAUUAUAUCCUUAUCCCAUGCUCUAUGAACACGUUGAUUUUCUUUUGGGAUAAAAAAAAAUUUAUUUGAGCUUGAUAGAAAUUUGGGAGGAAUGAUGGAGUAAAAAGAAGAAAAAAAAAGUGAUUGCAGUGGUAUUUUGGGGUGUAUUGUCAAAAAAAAAAUUAAAUUAUGGUUCCCUAUCCAACUUUCAAUUGAGUGAGCCAUUUGGAUACUCAAUGGGUUGGAAAUUUUUACGUCAUAUUUGGAGGGACUUUGGGAGAAACUCCACCAUAAAGCAAUUUAAAAAAAAAAAAAGAGAAAAGGAAAGAAAAAAAAAGAGAAAAAAAAAAGAAUGAUGAUAUAUGGCGGCAGAAAAAUUAUCUUGAAAGAGUGAAAUUGGACAGUGACAUUGGCUCUAAUUAGAUCCUAGAAAUCAACGUGUUGAUGGGUGAUUUGAGCUUAAAAUUCCCGUUAUCUCACCUUUAGCCCAGCCUUACAUUACAACCCGAGAAAAGUCCUAUUGAUUUUUGAUUGGAUAAUUAGCUUACAUUAGUGGAGAGAGGAAUGAAAAGCAAACCUAUGAGAUUUGGUCAUAAUUAUUGAGAAUUUUUGAGAGGUUGCAUGUUAAUGUGAAUUUAUUUGGAUUGCAUAUAAUUCGAAAAAGAUUAUGACUUUCACACACACACUUGGAUCAUAUAGUUAGAAUUGGUCUUAAUUUAUAAAUCGAUUUCAAUGUUUGGAUGAAAUUUGUGUUUUUCUUUGAAUUGUGAAUUUGAGCAAUUAUGGAAAGAUGUCAUAGAGAAGGUUGUUAGGUUGAGUAUGUGUUAUGUCUUGAUUUUGCUCGAGGACUAGCAAAAUGUUAAGUUUGGGGGUUUGAUAACUCUAUAAAAAUAGAGUUAUUUUACCUAUUUUAGGCAACAAUUAAUGCAUUAUCUAUGAGAAAAUAUUUGAAUUUCCUUCUGAUUAUUUAAAUUUUCCUUGUUUAUGCAGAAUAAUGAGAUAUGGAGAAGAUAAGGAAAAGAAGGGCAAUUAUCAGGAAUUCAAAUAAAAGCAGCGAUGGAAGAUGGAUAUCAAAUUAGAAAAUUCUUGAUUUUGUUCCCUAAUGUUAUCUACAAGUAGAUAUUUUAGAUUUCCUAUAAAUAGGAAGAGAGAGCAGCUAGGGUUUAGAGGGGGUUAGAUCGUUUUCCAUUGUUCUGAGAGUUUUUCAAGUAUUUUGAAGAGAAGACAAAAGUGGUGAUAGAAUUCUUGUCAUUUGAUUCAAGAUGCUGGGUUUGAUCUAUAUUUCUAUUUUUAUUUCUUAUUCUACUAUGUUCUAAUUUUCUUUUGUUAGGGCUACGAUGUAGCCUAACCAUGAUGAUAUGAAUUUCAUGAUUUUUAUGUUUUACAAUUGAUUUCAUUCAUGUGAGUUAUAUAUUAUUGCGUUUAAUGCUUUUGAGUGACUGGCCACCACUUGAAUGAUCUGAUAUGCAUGUUUGAGACUGAGAGGUGAUAAUAUGCAAUUGCUCAUUAUAAUAUAUAACCAUGAAUUAAACGUGGAUAGAAAUAUACCGCGUUAUUUGUGUAGCUUUCGGUGAUAAGGUGAUCCAAAAGACUCAUUGUAAACCGAGAAUAUUCAUAGUUUUUAAUGCACUCAUGUUUAUUUUAAUUCACAUAGAGAUAUAGUGGAUUAAUAAGCUGAGUAGUUUUGCUAUACCUAGAGAUAGGAUAGUAAAUAGAUUAGGAAAUUCUGCUAUCACAUGUUUGAUAUCGUUCUUGUAUUCACAACAAUCUGAAAUUCAUACCUAGUGGUUAUGGUGAAAUCGGAUGCUCUAACAUAUUUAUCUGAUCGAUUUACUGCAUUUAGUAUACAAAUUUCGUUUUUAAUUUAUUCUUAAUUAUAUUUUGAUUUGUUAGAUAAAUUUUAGAAUUAGUCUAUUUUAGUAUUUAAUUGGUUUAUUAAUCAUCGAUCUCCGUAGGACGAUACUUUAUCUCAUCAUUAUAUUACUUGUUCGAUACGUGCACUUGCGUUUAGAAUUUUACGAACAGCGUCUCUCUUAUCGAAGUCUUUAUGUGAUUCCAAUCCCUGGAGAGUCCACGCAGUAGCUUGUUUACCUUCAUGGAAUCAGAAGUUGGUUGACCUUGAUUUUCAAGACCAUUCACAAUAUCUGUAAAACGACUAAACAUGUCAGAUAUAGAUUCUCCUGGUUUCAUUCUGAAGGCUUCGUAUUGACCGAGAAGAAUGUUGAUUCUUGUUUCCUUCACUCGAUCUGUUCCUUCAUAGGUGAUAUGCAAUCUGUCCCAAACUUCUUUUGCUGUACCACAAGAAGAUAUUCUAUUAUAUUCAGUUGGUGAUAAAGCACAAUAUAAGGAGUAAAUUGUUUUUGCAUCGAGUGCUUGUCUCUUGAUUAUUUCUUCCUGAGACAUUUCGCUGGUUUCAUCAGUUUCUUUUCCUCUUUCAGAGACUGAUGCAGUGGUAGGAGUAAUUCCUUUUUCUACAAUGUCCCAUUCCAGAGGAUCCUUUGAUCGAAGGAAAGCUUUCAUCUUGUUCUUCCAGAUGUUGUAAUCCUUUCCAUCAAAGUAGGGUGGUCUGGUAUUGCUUUGCCCUUCCAUCAGCCCUGGUGCUAGCAUACUAGCCAUGGAUCUUUUACUACGAAGUAAAACACUUCAAAUAAAGUAAGUACACAAGCUUUGAUACCAAUUGAUAUUGCUAGUAUGACUACCUAGAGGGGGGUGAAUAGGUAUAUAAAGAAUUUUUCUCAAGCAAUUGCACAAUACUAGACAGUUGGAGGAAACGAUAAUCAAAGUAAGACUGAGAGAAGAGAAAAUUGAACACGCGGUUUAUAGUGGUUCAGCUUACAUCAAGCCUACGUCCACUCUUCUUCACUGACAGCCUAUUGGCUGGAUUCCACUAUGAACAAGAGAGAGGUUACAGCACAGCUUUGCCUUGAUUCCACAGUGUAGAUGUUCUACCACACCUCCUCAAUAUUUCUCACAAAUAUAGACUCUCUCGUUCGUAUACAAGUAUUCGCUCAAAGGAUUUGUCUAAACAAAAAAGGAGCUUCAGACUUUGGAAUUCUUCUAUCGCGCACGCCUUGAACAACUAAGACAGUCUUCCUUAUAUACUCAUUUAUGCCAUCAUACCCGUUGACACUUACCAAAGGAAUUCCUCCAAUCUACCCGUUGGACGAAAUCAAUUAGGAAGAUUGUUCAAGCUAUUAAAGGAACGUGUUGAUAGCCCAUCAAUCCUGUUCGCCCAUACAAUCAGGAUCUCGGUUUCCAUAAGCAGAACCUUCCAAUAAUAUUUAGGCAAUCGCCGGAUCUUCAAUUAUCGAAUCAAUCUUCGAUCAAUCAAAGGACUCCGUUUAUGUCUUCUCCAGCCAUGAGAUCUUCUCCAGUUGAUAAGGUUAAAUCCUUAACGAAACAUCUAGUUCUGGAUAACCUUUCUUCAACGGAUUAGUGACUGUCAAUGAGGAUAGACUUUGAGUCUUGAGUCUGGCUGUCCCAAGGUCUUUAGACUUUAAAUAGCAUAGUCUACAAGCCUUCAGACUAGACUGAUAGAAACGAUUUGUCAACUUCAAAACACUUCAAGAAGAUUUCUCCAACACCAGUGAGGCCUGCCUGGCCACUAGCGAGGCUGGGUGAGCCUCGCCCAAUUGCCGGUGAGGCUCGGCCGACAAGGGCCGGCAACGCUCUAGUGAGGUCGCUGGCCCUCGUUUGGUCAAUCACUGGACUAGCGAUUGGAACUUGAAGAAAAAGAAUAUGAGAGAGAAAGGAAAAAGGAAAAAAAAAAAGAGGAAAAAAGUAAAAAAACAAUUAUUUAAAAAUUAAAAGAAAAUGAUUUGGAGUAGAAAUUUUAAGCACGGUACCAAACACAAUUCUAUUCUAGAAUAAGAAAUUUUGGACGGUUAUCAAACGGCUUAAAAUGCUUAUAAAUUAUUCUUUGGAACAGAAUAAAAAAAAAUCAAUUCUGAUAAGAAAUUAUUUACGGGAACAAAAUUGUUACCAAACGCGCCUUAAGCAACCACUUUCCAAACUCUUGUCACUUUCUACAUUGUCCACAUCGUCAUUUUGUCUAGAAUAUCAUGAAAUGUACUUGAUAUAGGAAAUGGAGAAAAAAAGUUAAAGACGACUGAGCUUUUAGUGCAAAGAGUUUUAAUUUGGAUGGGUAUCGGUGCAAUAAAAUCACGCUCUGAAUAUUUUAAUCAUCGACUAAUUGAUAUAGGUAUUUAACUUUAAAUUUCUUGGCUUUUAUUUUGAAACUGAAACUUAUUAUAAUUAGGCAUGCUAACUGCCUCACAUUUUGAUUCCCUUUUGGUGAUCUCUUGCUCAUAAGUCAUUAGAUUUUUAUUGUUCAUCCUAACAAGUAGUACCGGACCGGAUAAUUGAUUAGAUGGUUUCCUAACAUAUAUGUCACUCAUUAUUUCAAGAAAGGAAUAUCACAAAUCAUCAAAAUUGCCAAGUAAAAAUGGCAGCUACCGACGCUAGGUUUGGCAGAAAUAUUGCUGGUAAAGGUGGUUUUUGUGGGUGAUGUUAUGAUGGUUUAUGGAAAUUGUCGUUGAUGGUGGCAGCUGGGUGUAGGCGGUGGAGAGAGAGAGAAAGAGAGAACUUGAGUACUUGGGCUUUGCAGGCGUGAUCAACUUUCAGUAAGACGUACCUAAUUUAACGUUGGGACAUGGAGACUCAAAUCGGUCUGGACAGAGGAUCCUUCUUAUUUCCCACAAAGUAAUGACAGAAGUCGCUUUGUUGAAAAUGCUUACUAGCUUUGAGUUGGUUUUAUGUUGUCGAUGAAACUGCGAACUUAGUUAUAGUUUUGCUUGUUUAGGUGAUUUAUGUUAGCUUAUAUACUAUAUCAAGUAGUCAAUUUACAUAAAAUUUACAUAACUGUUUUUUACCAAGAGAAUCCCAAACUAUUUCUUGUAUGUGGGUUGUGAUAUUGAGUAAUUUAACUCAAACGUUUAUCAAGGAAGAAAGAAGUACUUCCUCUCUCUUUUUUCGAAUUUGGGACACCUGGAGUACCAUAACUUGGCACGGAGGGACACUUAAGUGUCACUCCGGCCAAAAUCCGGCCAAAUGGCUGACGUGGCAAUUUUCUCACAAGUUGGGUGCAAAACAGCGUCAUUUUGUAUGGUGACCUGCCAACAAAAUACAAAAACGAUGUCAUUUUAUGUCUGAUGUGUAAAUAGUUAAUAUAAAAAUUAAUUAAAUUAAAUUUAAACUAAAUUUUCUUUAAAAUAUUAAAAAUUAAACAACUUAAAAAAUAAAAAAAACUUAAAAUUAAAAAAAUUAAAAUUAAAAAGAAAAACUUAAAAAUUAAAAAAAAAACUUAAAAAUUUUAAAAAAUAAAAUUCAAAAAACUUACAAUUAAAAAAACAUAAAAUUCAAAAAAAAUUAAAAUUUUAAAAACCUAAAAAUUUAAAAAAAUUAAAAUUUAAAAAACUUAAAAUUUGUUUUUAAAUUUUAAGUUUUUUAAAUUUUAAUUUUUUUAAAUUUUAAGUUUUAAUUUUUAAGUUUCUUUAAUUUUAAGUUUUUUAAUUGUAAGUUUUUUAAAUUUUAAUUUUUUUAAAUUUUAAGUUUUUUAAUUUUAAUUAUUUUAAUUUUUAGUUUUUUUAAAAUUUUAAGUUUUUAAAAUUUUAAAAUUUUAAAACUUUAAUUUUUUUAAUUUUAAGUUUUUAAAAUUUUAAAAUUUUAAAACUUUAAUUUUUUUAAUUUUAAGUUUUGAAAAUUUUAAAAUUUUAAUUUUUUUUAAAUUUUGAUUUUUUUAAAUUUUAAGAGUUUUAAAUUUUAAGAUUUUUAAAUUUUUAAUUUUUAAAUUUUAAAUUUUUAAAUUUUUAAUUUUUAAAUUUUAAAUUUUUAAAUUUUUAAAUUUUAAAUUUUUAAAUUUUAUGUUUUUUUUAAGUUUUUUAAGUUUUUUAAUUUUUUAAUUUUUUUGAAUAUUUAAAAUAAAAUUAAGUUUAAAUUUAAUUUAAUUAAUUUUUAUAUUAAUUAUUUACACAUUAGACACAAAACGAAGUCGUUUUUAUAUUUUCUUGUCUCGUCAGCGUGCAAAACUACGCCGUUUUAAACCCCAUUCGUCGGAAAAUUGCCACAUUAACUUUUUGGCCUGAUUUUGGCUAGAGUGGCACGUAAGUAUUGCACUUUAUUCCGAAAUUGGCACUUAAGUAUACCAUUUCAAAAUUAUGGCACUUAAGUGUUCAUCCGUGCCAAGUUAUGAUACUUGGGCUAUUCUUCUGCCCUUUUUUUUUUUUCUAAAUUUAGAGGCAUGAGCCUAAAAGCUCGAAUGCCUAAGAGUUCAUGGAAUAUCUUGUUUCGUCUAUGACGGUGGUCCUAACCCAAAAUAUUUUGCACGUGAUUGAUAAGAUUUGACCAAAUAACCUCCAAUUUUUUUAUUUUUUUAUAGGAAAUCCCCUUAUGUGUCAAGCCAGAGGUUUAAAGAAGAUCCAUAAAAAUAAAAAAUAAAAAAUAAAAAAUAAACGUGGCUAUUCUUAGGGUGCGGUUUGGUAACCAUUCUGUUUUUGGGAACAAUUUCUAAUCAGAAAUUAUUCUUUUUUAUUCUGUUCCAGGGAACAAUUUUUGAGCAAAAUAAUACGUUUGGGGUGCGCAUGACAAAAUUUCUGAAACCGAAAUUGAUUUUUAGCAAGAAAUUGAUUUCUCAAUUUCUAUUUCAGAAACUGAGAAGUUAAAAAUUUUAACUUCUGAUUUUUUCUUCAAAUCUAUUUCUGGAAUAGAAAUCUAUUUCAGAAAUAGAGAAAUCAAAUUGUGUUACCAAACGAAUUUCUGUUUCAAACCUGUUCCGGGGAACAGAAAAACAAAGAAAUCAAGAAACAAAAUUUUUAUCAUGUGCAGCCUUGGUAACUGCACAAAAUUUCUGAUUCGAUUGGUAAGAUAUCGACGAGAAAUGCAUAAGCUUUUAAAUUUUGAAUAAAAAAAACACUAAUAUUAUUGUGCAGGUUUGACAUAUAUAUCGCUCACAAUAUACAAGCAUAGAAAAGUUGCACAAGACAAUCCAAAAAUGAUUUGCCAAAUAUACAAUCAAAUACUAAACAUUUCAAAUUGUGCAAUUAAAUAUUAAAUGUUGUUUACCGAGUGCAAUUUGGUCCUUUUAGUGAGGUUGUGGUCAUUAUUUGAAAAUAUGGCAUGCUAGAACUCAAUGUAGCAUUUGUAAAAUACAUUUUGUAGAAAAGAAUGGGGUCGAUUCCAUCUUACCAUAUAGAAACUGUGAAAUAACAAAAUUUUCCGUACUAAGGUCGUCUAUAACUAAGUAUGCCUCAUUUCCAGGCUAUUAUAUUUUCAAUUUUUAGAUUUUACUCAAUCUCUCAAAAAGUCAUUGUACAAGUUUUUUCAUCUAGAAGUAGUACCAGUCCAAAGUGGAGUGCUAUGGAAAUAUUGAAUUUAAAUUCUUUGUCAGCUAAAACAACUAAAUCAUUACACACACGUUCCUAGACUACAUUAAUUGAUAUUGUAAUUUAUUGUUUUUACAGUUAUCGCAAAACAUGAUUGGUUUAAGGUGAGAUAAAAUGUUUCUUAAUUAGUAUAAUAUGGGACUGGCUAGUGUGGGUCGAGUUGAGCCUGGCCCAUAAUGAGCCCGUAGUGAGGGGAUUUAGUUGGAAACUCUAUAAAUAGUGUUCAAGUCUCUCAUCUAAUCAUAAUUCUCAUAUGUAUCCUCACUUAAUGAGCGUUUACCUAACGUUAAACGUGAGGGAGCCGUCUCAUUGAGUCAGUGAUACGGAGGGCAAUAUAAGAAAAUGACUCUUGCGUGGAAGAUUGUGUUUUCGUUUCCGUUUUAAGAACGAUGGAUCUCAAAACAUGUGUGUUAAUCUUUUUACUCAAUUAUGCAUAUUCUUGUUCGAGUUAUGGAGAUCUUGAGGUUGCGCUAUUUGCAUCCAACAAUGCACACCUUGUAGGGUGUCCUGUAGAAAAAUAAAGGGUGUAAAUUUUACGAUACUCGAGUAAUUACACCCCAUAUGCAUUAGACAUUGGUAGUUCUUAACAAUCCUUUGCACAUCCAUCCUAAUCCAGAGUGUCAUAAACCGGUGCUUGAUUUGUUGUCGUUUUAUUCUGGGUCCCAUGACUAACUAAAUCAAUUUAUACAUCUUGAGCUAGGUGUCGCAACCCUCCUGACGUAAAGGUACGAGGAAUCAGGAUUCUGUCAGGGCAACGAAUUGCCCAGUGAGAGCGGCGAGAGACUCUUACAAGCUUAUGGUAAUACUCGGUGUGGGUUCUCCCAAGACCCUGUCAAUUUGCGGUAGGUCGUUGACUCAUUUCGUUAUGACCAAUAUGUUAUUUCAUUUGGAGUCGCCGCUAACAUAUUUUAAGCCAAUUAGGGAUCAAGUGGAAUGUGAAAAUUUGUUUGUUUUUAGGUCAGGGGAAGAUUGUUUCACUUUCCAUGAGCCAGAGACCCUAAGAAUAGGAUUGAUUAUGCUAAUCGUCUAAUUAGUACUCCUCCAAUACCUGAACUAAUAAUGUAAUCGGAAAUGUGAUUCAAGUGAUCUUAUCAAAUUUUAAGCUCCUAGGUACAUUUCACUUGGGGAUCAUGCAUGGUUGCUUGCAAAAAUGGGUAUCCAUCACGAAUAUAGAAUAAAAAAACAUGCUAAAUCGAAAUAAGCAUGUAAAUAAGGAAUAUGGAAUGUAAAGUAUGCGAAAAGUAAAACUAGAUAUAGUAUCAGGCAAAAAAUAUACAUAACCUUAUCAUCAAGCCUUGCAACAAGACUCCCGUGAUCAAUACCACAAAUUAAUCACGUCAAUUCCUCAAACUAGAUAACAUGAAAUGACCAUGAACAAGACAAAACGGUCCAACUGGCUAAGUAAUAGCAAUGAAAAUGCAAUAAACGAAUUAAUCCUAUCCCUAGAUGCAAUUCCAAACUAAAUGCCACACUAACUUCUUCUUCUUCUUUUUUAAUCUUUUCUCUUUACCGACUCUUUUCUUUUUAAUUACGCAAAAUGACAUGAUCUAAUGUCUAUGUUAUACUAAAAACACUAGCUACACCAGGCAUUAGGUUAGAACAAUGUUUUAGACUGAAAGCAUUACUUUGGAAUUAUAACUUAACACUGAGCUACCACGAUAUCUCCUAGAAUGCUAUUUUUCUGUAAUUUUUCAUUACAUGCUUUGUGUGCCGGUCUUUCACAUACACUAACGGCAAGACGAUUAAUCAUAAGAUCACAAUAGAUAGAACGAUUGACCCCAAAUAGACCACAAUUACACUUAUUAAAACAAAAUAACACCUAGAGAUUAGUAUAUUGAUGCAACAUGACUAGGGUUCAUUUUGUGCAUAAUGACCCUAGUUAUUAAGGGUGAUGUGGAGCAGGGAAUGCGUGGUCAUAUGAACUAACUUUUUUUUUUUUUAUUUUAACAAGAGUCAAAUUUCAUCGUAACCAGUUGAUUUGAUUUCAGAAUUAAUUUUCAUUCAAAAAAGUGCAUGAUGAACUCGCUAGAGAAAUUCAAGUGUCAACGUUGGAUGAUUUCUCGAUUUGAAUGAUGGGGACAUCAUUCAAGGAAACACGAAAAUGAAAACCUAAAGAGUCAAUUAUUGAGUACUCUACACUCUGAUGUGAUAUUAGAUCAAUUUCCUUGUAGAACAUCAACCAUUCAAAUGCAAAUUUAUUCAAUUACACCUAGAAUUACAAUUCAAUCGCACUUAGAACUAUAAUAGAUCACACUCGCAUAUCCCUUGUAGCGACAAAUAGGGCAAAUUAGGGCAAAAUGACGCAUCAUGGAGCUGGCAAAAGAAGACGCAAUUUAUGCAUAGGCAUCAGGGUUUGCCAAUAGGAACUCUUCAACAACUUUGUAGAGUCCCGUAGCCUUUUCUUUGCCCCGUUUGAUAUCUUCUUCAUUGAGCUCUACAUCCCCCUUAGCGUGAUAUUCACUGAUCAUCUUACAUAUGCAUCCACCAUUGCUUGAAGCCAAGAAUUGAACCUCAUAGAUGACCUUUUCGAUCUUGUUGAAGAUCACAUCGCCUUCAAUUAGAGUGUACUUGCAGACCAAGUUCUCCGUGUCGAGGAAGUCAAUUUUGUGCUUUAGAAACUUCAAGUGACCACCUAUAAUACCAUGUAAAAAUAUACCAUGUAGAAAUCAAAUAACAUUAUAUAGAGAGGUGCACAAAUAAAGAGACAUUCAUAUGGUGGUGUAACAAAUAGGACUCUUCGAGCAUCAUCUGAUAUAUAUACUAACCUUCAGCAAAGUUGGUAACCUUGAUGCUUCCAGCUCCUCCAUCUCCUUCAACGAACUCGAUGCUCUUGAUAUCCUGAGGGGCAAUCUUGGGAAUGAGGUUGUGGGAAUCAACAAUCAAAGCCUUGAACAUUCUAGAUGGAGCGAUGAGGGUGGGGAACUCUUGGGUAAAUGUGGUGACACCCAUGUUUUUGUCUUGGAAGAGGAAAGACAAUUGAACCAGAAAUUUGGGGAGAAUAUGGAGUAUGUGUGAGUGCUUACUAGUGCAAAACCUUGAGUUUGAUGCAAAAGAUGAAAAACCAGUGUGCUAUUUAUAGACUCUUCAAAGGGGCCUAGCUUUUAAGGCCAUCACAUGGAUGUUAAGACAGCUCAGAGCACUCCACGGUGGACUGACCGACCAAAACAUUGAUUUUCUUCUUCUUCUUCUUCUUUUUUUUUUCUUUUCAAUUUAUUGAAAGUCUUAACUUCAUUGGCAAGGACCCGCCAUUUUCUAGAACAGUCACAAGGGAGAAAAAUAGCCCUUCCCUUGCCAGCGACUUGGACGGAAGUAUCUGACUUAACACAUACGUCAAUGAUGCAAAAUUAUUAAACUGCAAUUGGCAAGAUGGUACCGAUUUUAUUUUUGGAUUAAGAAGCUGCUCCACGUAAAAGAGGAACGGGAGAAAUAAGAAUUUGAAAGUAAUUCGUAGGAAGUUGGAUGAAAUUCCAUGUGUGUUAUAAGAUUAGUGUGGAUAGAGUACCGGUGGAUGAAUAGUCGGCCUUAGGCGACUUCCGAUCCGAGUUUGAGGGCGCGGGGAGAGGGGGAGAGAGAGAUGGGCGUGGGCAAUGGGCGUGAUGGUCAAAGAGGAAGGAGAAGCACAAAGAUGGAGAAAAAGAGAAGAAAAGAAUGAAAAACCAUUCUCUCGUCAAGCUUUUUGAUCACCGAGAGAUUCAAUAUUCUGUUCAUUAUUUGCAUUUUAUUUCUUUUUUACAUACUUUUUUAAGGUUGCUUUAUUUUGAUAAUAAUAAAAUUUUAAAUUUAUCCUAUUCAUUAUUAAUAUCUUAGAUAAGAAUUUCCAUAUCAUCUUAAUAUCUUACAUUAGGAUCAGAAAGUAAUUGUAAUGAAUAUCAGUAAAGUUUUUCAGUGUCACUUUCAAAUACACCACUAAGCAACUGAAAAACUAGCAAUUUUCCUUAAAAGUGAUUUUCAAGAAAAAAAUUUUCCUCUAUUAAGUAUUUUUUCACAGAACAAGUGCGUCCAAAGUUUAACUUACUAUUUGAAAUUAAUUAAGCUAAGGAAAAGUUGGACCCCAAGUCUGUAAGAAAAAUCAUGCACUUUUUCUUUCCUUGCCCUUCUUGCUACCGCAUGUAAAUUAUUUAGAUAACAAUCAUCAUAGAACCUGGACCUCGGUUGAAAACUAUAUUAAGUGGUUUGAUUUACUUCAAUCUUAGAUCAUUUAAAAGCCUACCAACACACUGCAUGAUAACUUCUACAUCUUGUGUAGCAGUUUAGGUUUUAAAAACAAUUUGUGUUCGAGUAUUGAUACACUGAAAAAUAUUACAAAAACCCAAAUUAUAUGUUGAGAGGGCGACUAUAUUUCAAUGGGAAAAAAACAACAUAGAUGAUAGAUGUGUUACUUUAAAUAACAGAAGAUCAAGUUGAUUAGUCUGCCAUUUCGGACCUAAUAGAAAAUGGGUUGAGCAUACAUAAUUUUGGCAUGUGAUGAUUUAUGGAAGUCUCAUUCAGACAUUGUAACCACUUCAUGUUGGGAAGAUGACAAACUUUAUCAGACAGCUUUUAGGUAUGGAUUCAUAGAAUAAGGUCCAAUAUGAAUGGCAUGAUAUUAUAUUUGUUCUAUAAUUGCAAACUUUUGAGGGAAUAUUGUGAUUCGAUCGAGACCAAAUUGCCACAUGUAUGACCUGUAAUGGAAUUGUCUCUAUGACAACUUAAACAUAUAUGAUACAGAUAUCUCUGUCUGAAAAAGCAAGUUAUGGAAUCAUUAUUACAAAACUAUUCUCAGGAAUUCUUUUAUUUAUUUUUUAGCCAAAAAGGCCGAGAAAGGUAUAUUAAAUCUUAGUUGAGAAUACGAACAUAACAAUGAACACAAAUGUUGGGCCAGGUUAAGAGCCCAAAAAGAUAAAUAUGCCGUAGAAUUUAAGCCUUUACAAAUUGAAGAUCAGGGUUAUAAUUUGGCAAUCACUCCGAUUCAUUCGGUUGAUGCUAUACCUAAUGUUGAGAUUUGACCUAGUAGAUAAAAGUAGUUAGUUAUUAACAAUUUACCAGUCCUUUUUUAAUCCGCUAAAAGCAGUUUUUUCAUCGAUCUGAUAAAAGCAGGUUAGUAAUUAGAAAAAGAUGGCAAGUCGGAAUUAACAAGUUAUCGGACAAGUAAUUUACCAGUCAAUUUUUGCUACCAACAAUAUAGUAAUUAAUCAAGGUUUUGCGUAAAAUUACCAUCAUCGAACAGUUUUAAAAGUUUUUUGGUGUAUGGAACCCAGGAGUUCUGCUAUAAAUAGCAACAAAACUCCUCUAAAAUAGCUACAAGUCUAACUCGAAUGCUUGUUGAAUGGGGUCGGUUCUUUGGUUUGAUUCCUCCGGACUAUAAUAAGAGCCUGCUUGUAUAUAGCCAUACCUGAAUUGUAGCCGUUGUGUCAUGAAGGGUCGUAACUUUUACGUUUGGUAAUACAGGUUUUAAAACUGCAACCCCUCAAAAAUUGAGUAAAAAAAUUCAUUAAAGUUGAUAUAAACUGUUGCAAUUUUGGAGGAACUGCAGCUGUGAGAUGUUUUCCGAACGCUUCAAAGUUGCAUCACCCCUUUCACAGCGAAAGCUGAUGGCGAGAAUCUGUACCAAAUAAUCUGUAAAUCUCUUGAAAAUUCUAGCUUCGCUUGUUUUUUGUUUCUUUUUCUUCUCUUUUCUUGGAUCAACUCAUGGCAUUGGCCCACGAUGUUAUAGAGACCAUCGCAGAAAACCCGUCAACUUUAUUUAUAUGAAUCAUUGACUUGCACACAAUCAUAACUAUAUUUCAUUAAAAAAAAUAUCAAGAAAGACAUUAAUUACUCUAAGUCAGAACUCUAAAUUAAACCCUCAAAGCGAAGCACGACAUCACAACAAUAAAUGCAUAGAUAUAUGGAUUUGCCAAAAGGUAUUCCUCAACCAGUUAGCACAAUCUCAUCGCUUUGUUUUGGCCCUACUGGCUGUCUUCUUAUUGAGAUACACAUGAAUUAUAUUAGAAAAAUAUCACAUUACAGAAUUGAUGUGGAGUGAAGUAGUUAUAUAUACUAGUUGGCCCAUAAUUUAUUGAUUUCAAUUUUUGAGUGAGGGUGAGUGGAACUGAAUAUAUUGACUAACUCAUAGUUGAGCUCCCACUUGGUCAUCUCUUAGUUGAAAGUAUCGGGUUUCUAUUGUGCGUCCAAACAAAUGUUUGAUUGGUUGGUCUCCGAUUUGUAUUGGAAUCCUAGACUUAAUAAUGAAUCCUGUGAAUCUCUAUGGUUGCCAAGUGCGGAAGGAGAUGAUAGGUGAAAGACGCGUUUGAACUAGUUGGUGAUCAUUAGAGAUUCGAGUUGAGAUAAUUUUAGAGCUGAAAGUAUCUUAAUUAAGGAGGACCAUACCUAACAUUGAGCUCACACCUGAGUUCAUUAUUUUUUUAUUUUUUAUUUUUAUGUUACAUGGUUUUCGCUGCAAGUUCCCGUUUCCUCUGGAAGCAAAAGGCACAAUUUCUCUCAUUGACGAUUAACUAAUCUCCCUCAACAAUUUGGGCGUCUUCUGAUAAGUGCGGGUCGGGAGUGCGGCCCUAAACUUGACGUAUCAUAAGUGAAUAAAAAAAUAAUUGUAGUCAUAUAAAACUUCAUUAUUAUUUCCCAAAGAAACUUAUUUAUUCCAAUUGAUAAAUGCCGGAAGAGCUUAGGAGCCACGACUUGGAUCCCAAAGCAAACUCCGUACAACAUGGCCCAAAAAGAAAACAUUAAUGUAUAAACCCAAAGAGUUUUUGCCGAAAACAAAUGGUCUAAUUAAAAGGCACAUCAAGCAUAGACAUCGGGAUUGGCUGAAAGGUACUCCUCGACAACCUUGUAUAGCCCCAUAGCCUUAUCUUUGCCUUGUUUGAUCUCCUCUUGCUUAAGCUCCGCACCAGCUUUCGUGUGGUACUCACUGGACAUCUUGCAUAUGCAUCCACCAUUACUUGAAGCCUCAAAUUUGACCUCAUAGACAACGGAUUCAAUUUUAUCAAAAAUCACAUCACCUUCAAUCAAGGUAUACUUGCAGACGAGGUUAUCAGAAUCGAGAGCAUCGAUCUUAUGUUUCAAAUAUUGCAAGUGGCCACCUGACAUAAAUUGAAAGUCUUGCUUAGAAUCAUCACAAUAGAAACCAAUAAGAAGGACAAAUACGUGUAUGCGCAUCACAAAUUAAGGAUGACAGUUACCAUCGGCAAAGUUAGUCUGCUUAAUGCUUCCAACUCCUCCAUCUCCUUCAAUGAAAUCAAUGCUCUUGAUGCCUUGGGGGGCAAUUUUGGGGAUGAGAUUGUGGGAAUCGAGAAUCAAGGCCUUGAACAUUCUCGAUGGGGCAAUUGGGGUAGUGAAUUCUUGGGUAAAGGUAGUGAUGCCCAUAUUUGAUUUUAAGAGUGAAGAUCUGAAAAUGGAGGAGCAACGUGAAAAAGAUUUGCUUGAAGGCAGAAGAAGACUGCUGAGUUUAAUGUGAAGAUGUUGAGCAACAACUUGAUGGGUAUUUAUAGAUUCUAGGAGAUGCGUGUGGAAUGGUGCAGUUGUUUUCGCUGACGAAGAAUGCAAGUUGGAUCUCUAUCGGUAGCGCUCCACUUUGGACUGGCCCCACUUCUAGAUGAAAGAACAUGUAUAUUCACAUUGUAGGAGAUUGACUUACGUACUACGGAAAAUUAUUUAGCACAUCAUUUGAAACUCCCAAUUUGCAUAGACGGACUUUCCUUCGACCCACAGCUGGAAAUAGCUUUACACGCUGGAGAACUCAUCGGGUGCAUCGUUGAUCCAAUGAAAUCAUCCGUUGAAUUAUGUGGUUCCUGCGAUGGGUCCACAAGAUUUGAUUAGUCACAUAAACUGGACCUUUGUCUGUGGCCGUUGCUACUAAUUUUCCUACGUGUCCUACUUCUGGUUCAUAUGCUUUGAUUUUUAGUUUCUCGACGUCGCCAUUCUCCGGCCCUGCCCCAUCCUGGAGGUUCAGGGUCAAUUCCCCAUGUAUCCUUAUAUCGUGGACACCGUGUCUUGUAAAAAGAUGCAGGCAUACCCUGUACGAUGCCGAAUUAAUUACUACCGCGAGCAUUAGAAAUCGGUAAUUCUUAACAAUCCUUUGCACAUCCGUCCUAAUCCAGAGUUUCACAACACGUACGCACGCAAAAAUUAUGCUGGAAGUUGGGACAGACGUAAUUUUUUUAAUUCUUGAAGUAAUCAGCAGCUGGUGCUCGAUUUGUUGUCGUUUUAGUUCUGGGCUCUGUGACUAAUUAAAUGAGUGUAUACAUCUUGAGCUGGGUGUUGCGACUCUCCCGAUGCAAGAUAUGGGGAUUAGGCAUCCGUCGGGGCGAUGGCUUGCUAAGUGAGAGCAGCUAGAGCUUCUUACAAGGUUAUGAUAACACUCGGCACGAAUUCUCCCAGACUUUGCCAAUAUGCAGCAAUUGGUUGACUCGGUUCAUUAUGAUUAACAUGGUUUUUUCUUUUUGGAGUCACCACUUACCUGUUUGUGAAACGCGGAAGGUCGUUCGGUUUUUUUGGUCGGGGGAAGGUCGCUUCACUUUUCACGAGCCAUAUGGUUAUGCUAAUCAUCUAACUAGUGCCCUUUUAGUAUCUAAACUUACAAUGUAAUAAAAAACGUGACUCAAGUGGUCCUAUCAAAUUUUAAGCUCCUAGCUACAUUUCACUAAAUGAGCAAAAAGGGCUAUCCAUCAAGCAUAUAGAAUAAACAACAUGCCAAAUUGACAUAAGCACGUAAAUGUGAAAGACGGAAUGUAAAGUGUGAGAAAAGUAAGCCCAAUAUGGUGUCAAGCAAAGAAGUACAUGAUCUUCUUAUCAUAUCACAGGACAAGAUCCCCGUGACCAGUUUCAUAAAUUAAUCAUGCCUGUACCUCAAACUAGAUAACAUGAAACGAUCAUGAACUAGACAAAACGAACCGACUAGCUAAGUAAUAGCAACAACAAUCCAAACUAUACGCCACACUACUCUUUUUAUCUUUUCUCUUUGCCAACUCUUUUCUUUUUAAUUACGCAAAAUGACACGAUCUAGCGUCUAUAUUAUACUAAAAACGCUAGCUACGCCUUGCAUUAGAUUAGGAGAACGCGAAAUUAAACAUGGACUCAAAACAUUACUUAAAAUUACUACCUCCGAGAAUGCUAUUUUUCUGUAAUUUUUCAUUACAUGCUUUUUGUGCCACUCUUUCACUUACACUAGCGGCAAUAUGAUUAUUCAUGGGGAAGUAUAUUAUCAGUGCCAUAAGUUGUGUAUGGUGCUCACUUUGGUGUCAAAAGUUUCCGUCGGAUUACUUAAGUGCCAAAUCGGAGAAAAAAAACAAUCACUUUGGUGCCACCUGCGAGAGAUUCCGGCCGGAUUAAUUACAUAGCUUUUAUAUUUAUUUUUUUUCAAAAAAAGUUCUGGUUGCUUUAAAACAACGUCAUUUUCGGUCCUCCUUAAGAAAAUGACGUAGUUUUGCCGUCCUACGUGGAUGGCCUCACAAAAAUGACACUAUUUAACUCAUUUGGAGAUUUUUAUUUUAUUUUAUUUGGGGAUUGAAAUUAGGGUUUUUCUGACCUAGCUCGCUUGGCCAUCGUCGCUCGGCCUCCGCCGUCACUGGGCCGUCGUUGCUCACUCGGUUGCCAUUGCUUGGGGCUAUUCGGAUGACCUCGACAACACAUAAGGGAGCACCAGCCCUGGUCGCUAAAACCUAGGUAAUGGAAGACGCAAGCCAGGCACUCGUCAAGGAGAUCGAAGAUGGAGAGGGAGGAGAGGGAGACAUCAAUGGCAGCACACUCAUCGGCGGCCUCCCUGAGCACAGGCCAGAUCAUGGCCUUCGACUUGGCCACUGAGUGGCUGUUGUCAGGGUUGGGGUCGGGGUCAGGGUCAGAGCCAUGGCCAUCGAGUGGCUAUCGUCGGGGUCAGAGCCAUGGCCGUCAAGUGGCCAUCGUCGAGGUCGAAGCCAUGGCCGUCGAGUGGCCAUCGUCGGGGUCGGGGUCAGGGUUGGGGUCGAGGUCGGAGCUACGACCUCCAAGUGGCCAUCAUUGGGGUUGGGGUCGAGGGGGUGGGGGGGGGGGGGUGGGGUCGGAGCACCAGCAGCUAAGCGCGGGGGGCCGUUGAAGACAGCGACUGGCUGGAGAUUUAGGGUUUUGAAUUGAGGGUGACACCAAACGGCAUCAUUUUGGUAUUAGAAUGCUGACAGUACUCUCCAACGGGCCACAUCAACUUCAAAAAUUAAUAAAAAAAAAGAGUACCACAUUAGAUUUUCGGCCAACCAAAUUGGAGUUGGCACUGAAAUGAUCAUUUUUCAAACUUUUUGGCACUUAAGUGAUCCAACAUGAACUUUUGGCACGAAAGUGAGCGCCGUAUACAACUUUAUGGCACUGAUAGUGUACUUAUCCUGAUUAAUCACUAAGAUCACAAUAAAUAGAACGAUUGAACACAAAUAGACCACGAUUGCACACUAAUCAAAGCAUAAUAACACCUAAAGAUUGUAUUGAUGCAAAAUUACUAGGGUUCAUUUUGUGCGUAGUAACUCUAGUUUUUUAUGGCGAUGUGGAGCAAGGAAUGCGUGAACAUACAAACUGACGUUUUGUUACCAGGUUCAAAUUCCGCUGUAACCAGCAGAUUUGAUUUUGGAACUGAUUUUCAUUCAGAAAAAAAAAAUGCAUGAUGAACUUGUAGGUGAAAUUUAGGAGUUAACACUGGAUGAUUUGUUGAUUUGAAUGAUCAAGACAUCAAUAUAGGAAACAUGAAAAUGAAAGCGUGAAGAGUCAAUUAUGAGAACUCUUCACUCCAAUCUGAUAUUAAACCAUCAACAAUUCCAAUGGAAAUUUAUUAAUAACACCCAGAAUUACAAUUCAAUCGCACUAAAAAUUACAAUAGAUCACGCUUGUAUACCCCUUAUAGUGACAGAUAAGGGAAAUAACAUCAAAAUGACGCAUGACAGAAAUGGCACAAGAAGUUGCGAUUUAAACAUAAAUAUCGGGGUUAGCCAAUAGGUACUCUUCAACAACUUUGUAGAGUCCCAUAGCCUUUUCUUUGCCUUGCUUGAUAUCAUCUUCCUUAAGCUCCACAUCCCCUUUAGUGUGGUAUUCACUAGUCAUCUUACAAAGACAUCCACCGUUGCUCGAAGCCAAGAAUUGAACCUCAUAGACAAUCGAUUCGAUCUUGUCAAAUAUCACGUCACCUUCAAUCAAAGUGUACUUGCAGACCAAGUUCUCGGUGUCGAGAGCAUCGGUUUUGUGCUUCAAGAACUUCAAGUGACCACCUAUAAUACCAUACAAAAAUCAGAUUACAUCCUAUAGAAGGUAUAUAAAUAAAGAGACAUUCAUAUAUUUGUGAAACCAAUGGGACUCUGUGAGCAUCAUUAUAAACUAACCUUCGGCGAAGUUGGUGACCUUGAUACUUCCAACUCCUCCAUUUCCUUCGACGAACUCGAUGUCCUUAAUACCCUGAGGGGCAAUUUUGGGAAUCAGGUUGUGAGAAUCAACAAUCAAAGCCUUGAACAUUCUAGAUGGAGCAAUGGGGGUGGUGAAUUCUUGGAUAAAUGUGGUGACACCCAUGUUUUUGUCUUGGGAGAGGAAAGGAAUCGAACCAGAAAUUUGUGGAGAAUAUGAAGGAAUAUGCGUAAGUGCUUCUUACUAGCGGAAGAACUUGAGUUUGAUGCAGAAGAUGAAGGACCGAGAAGCUAUUUAUAGACUCUUGAAAGGGGCUUAGCUUUUAAGGCCUUCACAUGGACGUUCGAGAGAGCUCAGAGCACUCCACGGUGGACUAACCGACCAAGGCUUUGUUUUUCCUCAUCUUUGUUUUUUUUUUUUUUUUUUUUGGUGGUUUAAGUAUAAUCGUUUGAAAGUCUUCACUUCAUUGGCACGGACCCGCAAUUUUCUAGAACAGUCACAAGGGGAGAAAAAUAGCCCUUCCCACUUGCCAGCGACUUGGACCGAAUUGCAAUUGGCAAGUUGAUACCCAUUUUAUUUUCGAAAUAAGAAUAUGCUCUACGUAAAGAGGAAAAUGAGAAAUAAGAAAUUUGAAGUAAUUUGGAAAAAGUUGGAUGAAAUUCCAUUUAUGUUAUAAGAUUAUUGUAGAUAGAGUACCGGUGGAUGAAUUGUUGGCCUUAGCUACUUCCGAUCCNNNNNNNNNNNNNNNNNNNNNNNNNNNNNNNNNNNNNNNNNNNNNNNNNNNNNNNNNNNNNNNNNNNNNNNNNNNNNNNNNNNNNNNNNNNNNNNNNNNNNNNNNNNNNNNNNNNNNNNNNNNNNNNNNNNNNNNNNNNNNNNNNNNNNNNNNNNNNNNNNNNNNNNNNNNNNNNNNNNNNNNNNNNNNNNNNNNNNNNNNNNNNNNNNNNNNNNNNNNNNNNNNNNNNNNNNNNNNNNNNNNNNNNNNNNNNNNNNNNNNNNNNNNNNNNNNNNNNNNNNNNNNNNNNNNNNNNNNNNNNNNNNNNNNNNNNNNNNNNNNNNNNNNNNNNNNNNNNNNNNNNNNNNNNNNNNNNNNNNNNNNNNNNNNNNNNNNNNNNNNNNNNNNNNNNNNNNNNNNNNNNNNNNNNNNNNNNNNNNNNNNNNNNNNNNNNNNNNNNNNNNNNNNNNNNNNNNNNNNNNNNNNNNNNNNNNNNNNNNNNNNNNNNNNNNNNNNNNNNNNNNNNNNNNNNNNNNNNNNNNNNNNNNNNNNNNNNNNNNNNNNNNNNNNNNNNNNNNNNNNNNNNNNNNNNNNNNNNNNNNNNNNNNNNNNNNNNNNNNNNNNNNNNNNNNNNNNNNNNNNNNNNNNNNNNNNNNNNNNNNNNNNNNNNNNNNNNNNNNNNNNNNNNNNNNNNNNNNNGCAAUUUUCCGGCAAGUUUGGUCCAAAACGGCGUCGUUUUGCACCCUAACGUGGCGGAGAAAACGCAAAAGCGACGUCGUUUUCGUGUCUACGUGUAAAUAAUAAUAUAUAAAUUAAGUAAAUUAGAUUUAAAAUAUUCAAAAAAUUAAGAAAAAUUAAAAAUUAAAAAUUAAAAAAAAAAAAGAGGGGGGAGGUUGAACGGGGGGUGGCUCCCUCGCCGCCGCCGCCUCCCCGCUGUCGCCGGGAAGGGCCGACGACGGAGGGGGGAGGGGGGGCCGGGGUUGCCGACCCCCGGCCGACCCACAGCGAGGGCUUUUUUUUGCCGUGACCCUCGCUGCCGGUCGGUCAGCCUUACCGGCCCCUGUGAGACCCCGCCCGACCCUCCCCCCUCCGUUGCCGGCCCUUCUCGGCGACGGCAAGGAGGCCCCAGCGGCGAGGGAGUCACCCCGUUCGACCCCCCCCCCUUUCUUAAUUUUUUAAAUUUUUAAAUUUUUGUUAAUUUUUUAAAAUUAUUAAAAUUUUCUUAUUUUUUAAAUUUUUUUGAAUAUUUUAAGUUUAAUUUAAUUAAUUUUCAUAUUAUUAUUUACACGUAGACACGAAACGGCGUCGUUUUUGCAUUUUCUCCGCCACGUCAGCGUGCAAAACGACGCCGUUUUAGACCAAGCUCGCCGGAAACUCGCCACGUAAGCCAUUUGGCCGGAUCUUCGCCGGAGUGGCAUUAAGUGUCCCAUUUAACUUCAAAACCGGCACUCAAGUGUACCAUUUUAAAGUUAUGGCACUUAAGUGUCCCUCAGUGCCAAGUUAUGGCACUUGCGCUGUACUUCUGCCUCAAUUAGAGUGGUAUUAUCACAGCGAGCACAUGAAAAAGGAUGAGCAAAGAGGAAGGAGGAACACAGAUGGAGAAAAAGAGAAGAAAAGAAUGAAAAACCAUUCUCUCGUCAAGCUUUUUGACCACCGAGAGAUUUAACAUUGCUAAAUAUUUGCAUUUUAUAUUGUUUUACAUCCUUUUUUAAGGUUGCUUUAUUUGAUAAUAAAAAAAUUAAAAUUUAUACUGUACAUUAUUAAUAUUUGAGAUAAUAAUUUCCAUAUCAUCUUAAUUUCCAACAUUAGAUCACAAAAUAAUUAUAAUGAAGAUAAUAAAUUUUUAUAAUAAGAUCUGAACAUCAAUAAACUUUUUCAGACUCACUUUCAUACACACCACUAAACAACUGAAAAACUAAUAACUUUCUUAAAAAAUGAUUUUCAAGAAAAACAUUUUUCUCUAUUAAGAAUUUUUUCGCUAAACAAACUCAUCCAAAGUUUAACUUACCAUUUGAAAUUAAUUAACCUAAGAAAAAGUUGGACCCCAAGUCAAUGUAAGAAAAAAUCAUGCACUUUUUCUUUCCUUGCCCUUCUAGCUGCCACAUAUAACUGAUUUAGAUAACAAUCACUAUGGUACCUGGACCUUAGUUGAACACUCAAUUGAGUGUUUGAUUUACUUCAUUCUUAGAUCACAUAGAAGCCUAUCGACAAACUGCAAGAUAACUUCUACAUCUCGUGUUGCAGUUUAGGCUUUUUAAAAAAUUUGUGCUUGAAUAUUGAUACACUGAAAAAUAUUACAAAAACCCAAAUUAUAUAUCAGGAGGCUGACUAUAUAUCAAUGGGAAAAAACAACAGCUAUGAUAAAUGUGCUACUUUAAAUAUCAUAAGAUCAUGUUGAAUAGUCUGCCAAUUCAGACUUAUUAGAAAAUUGGUUGAGCGUACAUGAUUUUGGCAUGUGAUGGUUUAUGGAAGUCUCACAGAGACAUUGCAACCACUUCAUGUUGGGAAGAUGACAACCUUUAUCAGACAACUUUUAGGUAUGUGUUCAUAGACUAUAGUCCAAUAUGAAUGAUAUAAUAUUAUAUUGGUUCUAUAAUUACAAACUUUAGAGGGAAUAUUUUGACUCGCUUGAGACCAAAUUGCCACAUGGAUGACCUGUAAUUGAUUUGUCUCUAUGACAACUUAAGUAUAUAUAACACGGAUAUCUUUUUCUGAAAAAGCAAGUUAUGGGGUCAUUAUCACAACACUAUUCUCAGGAAUUCUUCUAUUUUUUUUUAGCCAAAAAGGCCGAGAAAGAUAUAUGAAAUUUUAGCUGAGAACAGGAAUAUAACAAUGAACAUAAAUGUGAGGCCGGGUUAAGAGCCCAGAAAGAUAUAUAUGCUAUAGAAUGUAAGCCUUUGCAAAUUGAGAAUCGGGGUUAUAUUUUGGCAAUCGUUCCUAUUCAUUUGGUUGAGGCUAUACUUAUUAUUGAAAUUUGAAUGAGUCGAUAAAAGUAGGUUAGUUAUUAGAAAAAAUUGGCAAACCAGAAUUAACAAUUUACCGGUCUUUUUUUUCUUGCUAAAAGUAGGUCAGUAAUUAGAAAUAAGUUGGCAAGUCACGAUUAACAAGUUAUUGUUAGAAUACAUGUGUGAGUGAGUUGUUAGAAUACAUGUGUGAGUAAGUUAACUCCUAAUCCUUGAUUAGGAAGUUAAUUGCGUUUAGGGGUAGGAUUAUAUUAAGGCUAAGGGAGAUUUGUCUUAAUUAAUGAUGAUUAGUUAAAGUAACCAUGGUAAGGUAAGUAAUCAUGGUAAGGUUAAGUAACCGUGGUUCGGUUAGUUAACCAUAGUUGGGUUAAAGUUUCCUUAGUUAGUUUAAAGUAAUCGUAGUCAAUCUAGUUAAUCGUGUUUAGAUUAAUUGAGUGUGGUUAGCCUAAUUAAUCGCAGUUAGUUUAAUUAAUUGUAGUCAAUUUAAUUAAUUACAUUUAAUCUUAAUUGAUCAAUUAAUUAAUGAUGAUUAGUUUUAAUUAAUUAUAUUUGGUCUUAAUUAAUCAUGGUUAGUGUAAUUAAUCACCAUUAGAUUAAUUAAUCAUGUUUAGUGCAGAUUAAUGACGGAGUAACCGUUAAGUAGAAUUUGAUGCUUGAUUUGUUGGGUCAAAUUAUGCAUAAUUAUGAUUGCCUGAGCUUGUAAUGCCAUGUUGUUUAGGGGUGAUCCGGUCCAGGGUGGGUAGGGUUUAGACCUAGACCCUAUACCUAAUCCUGUUAUAACCGGUUCCUCUUUUCUAGGCUCUAUACCCAACCUUGUUUGUAGUGGACCUUGUACCCAAUCCACCCUGUUUUUCCGAUUCGAUUCUAGAGUCAACCCUUUUUCCACUUGAACCUAUUUUGCAAUUUCCCGAUAUCCUAUACAACUUCGAAUUUUACAUUAAUACGCAAGAAAAAUAACGUAAUCCUCCUAAUUUGUAUUGAAACAUUAAGCACUUUUAAUAAAAAAAAUACAUUAACAUUUUGACUAAACGAAAAAUUAAGGAUUCACAAUGGUAAUUAUAAUAAAUAAAAUCAUAAGGCAAAGAAUUAGCAACAAACAUGGGUUUAAUAUUAGUCUUAUUCCCACAACUACUACUUGAAGCUAUUCAUUUAUGGAAGCAUAACUCCUCUUACAAAAGAGAAAUUAAGCGAGCCAAUCCAUGUGAUACACAAGAAUUUGGUGGUGACAAACACUGUCCGUUCAUUGGACGGUGCCAGAGGGAGGGAAGCAAGUGAGGAAGAGGAAUGUCCUCCCGUGCGUGUUUGAGAGAGCCAAGAGGAAAAACGUCGUGUGAUUACAAGAGUAAGAAUAGAAAUCGAGGGAAAAAAAGGUGUUUUGAACAUCUACUUUCAAAAGCGGUACAAGAACCGGUUCCAAAACUAAUCCAGGAACCGGUUUCUGGAUGGGUAAUCACUCGAAACCUAUUCCCGGACCGGUUUAAAUUGGUUCCUGAACCAGUUUCAAUGAGAACCGGUUCUCGACCUCGUUUUCCGGGUGGGCUGGUCCGGGAACUAGGUAUACCUGGUCCGGUUGCACACCUCUAAUGUUGUUGAUUGUCCAAAUUAUAAGUUUAAAUGCUAUUUUCAAAGAAAGUUUUUUUGAAAAUAAAAUAGCAAACUUUGAGGUGUUGUGUUUGGACGUGUAUUAUAUGUACUAAAUGGGGUAAUGGGAUUUUAAAAUGAAAGCGUGCAAAAUUUGACGGGUAGAUUUUAAGUAUGUGACCACAUGCGAUUAUUUUAUUAGAAUUUUAAAUGUAAAGAUUUUCCAAGAUUUGUUAUUUAAGCGUGAACUUUUUUACACUGGGCUAAUUGAUAGCAGAUAAGAAUUGGCUUGAGUGUUGCGUGCUUGUGUGGUCACUUAAUUGAACUCAUCACCUAACGAGAGUUUGGGGAUGAUGCCCUGGCAGUGGUCCGAAUGUCAAGUUGCGGUUGAGGCCGAACUGAUACUCCUCAUGGAAUGCCGUCUAGGCAGGGAUUCUAGACGAUGCCGUGCUUGAUGGGGGCGGGACGAUGCCUAGUUAUGUCGAAAGAUCGCCAACUCAUAUGUUGGUCAUGGCUCGAGGAGUCAUAAUAAUUGGAACAUGUGUGAACACGCUUAAUUAUAGGGUAAAACUAUAAAACUGUGAGGCACGGUAUGAGACGGGUCAAAACGGGUUUUGCCUUAUAAUUGGUACUCAUGUGGAUGAUUGGUGCAUGGGAGUCAUGUGUUUUGAUUAUUGAUUAUACUUGUUGCAUUGGUAUUGGCAUACAUGAUGUACUAAUAUGCAAGGGUGUGCCAAGACAAGAUAAGAUUGUAUACCGUUGCAUGUUUAGGCUGCAUCUGAGACAAAUUUGCGUCCUAAUCGAGGCUUAGGCUGUUAACUCACUGAGGUUUAUAUCUUACCUCGUUAUUGUUAAAUAUUUUUAGGUCCAUAGUUGGGAAAACUGUCGUGUGCGGUUUAGGGUCUCGAGGGACCAAGACACGGGCGUGCUUGACGUCACUUUUUGUUGGCCUCCUCAUUAGUGAAAUUUAGGUUAGCCUUGACCCUUGAAGGCUUUUGAGUUGGUUAGUAGGAAGUAGCCAUAGAAAGGCUUGUAAUUAUUAAGCUUCAUAGGGUUAACAAUUUAUAAAUAAAAGUGCUACUUUUGGGAAUGUUGCUUUAUAAUAUCUUUGUUGUUUGUUGUUUGAUUGGGUGUUAUUUAUAUUAAAUGCUUAUGCUUGUGUUUAAUUAAAAGAUAAAGGACUGGGUCGACGACAGGUUAUGGGACAUCGCAAUUUUAAUCAAUCAUCAUGGGAUGUUGGCAUGCUCGGGAUUUAGGGUGUGACAAAGCUUAUUUUAGGAGGGACUGAAAAUUCCCUUUGACGGGUGAAAGAGGUGGAAAAAAAGGCAAUCAUCAUCAGCGAUCCCCUUGGACGUUUUCAUAGGAGCUUGGCAAGGAUGGCCAGAGUAUUCGUUUUACGCAAUAAAUGCUGCUUAUUUCUAGCAAGCCCAUCAUCACAAGGUUCAAGUGAAGCUCAGGUUAUUCUUACGCCUAGCACUGAUAGAACCAAUGUUAUGGAAAAAUCAAAAUUUCAUUUGAUCGAGAGACAAUUUUGAAAGUCGACGUGGUGACAAGAAAGACUUGUUUUAGAAGGCUCAGAAGUGAGUGUUAGUCAAUUUACUUAAUCAUCUCGGUGGCAAGGAACUAGGAAUUCGCCCAUCAAAUAGUAAUCGGAAAAAUUGUCUAAAAAGUCAUAAACCAAUCGUACUUUUGUCAAUUCGGUCUUAAACCUUUCAAUUUUGUCAAUUGAAUCAUAAAUUUUUUCACUCUAUGUCAAUUGAGUCCAUUAAGCUAACUUUAGCUGGAAUUUGCUAACAUGAACACUAGGCGUCCUAUGUGACGUAGCUGAUAGUGAAGAAAAUUUAUUAACUUUUUAAUAUUUUUCAAUUUUUAAUUAUUUUUUAUUUUUAAAUUUUUUCAUCUCUUCUUCCUUUGUCGGCCACCUAGCCUCCAAUGAUUGGCCAAGGACUUCGACUAGGGAGGAUCAACUGCAAUGGCCUCAUGUGAGGUCGCCCUCAUUGGGAACUGGCGAGGGAUGACCUCACCGGAGGCUAGUGGAAGGCCACUGAGGGUUGGCCUCGCUAGCCUCAUGUGAAGUCGCCCUCACCGAGAUUUGGCGAGGGAUGACCUCAUGGGCUUUAGGCGAAGCUUGCCCUCGCUAGAUCUAGCGAGGGUGAGACUCGCUUGCAAUUGGGGAGGUCAACCCUCACCUCACCCAAAGCAAGUGAGGGGCGACCCCGCUAGCUGCGAGCCUUGCCCAAGGCCCUCAAGGUUGUCUCUCGCCAUAUCCUGAUGAGGGUUGACAUUGUGUGAGGUUGGCAAGGCCCACCCUCGCCGAUUGGAGCCUUUAGCUGGUCAUCGUAGGUUGGACGACCGGCAAAGGAAGAAGAGAGAGGGAAAAAAAAUAAAAAAAAAUAAAAAAUUAGUAAAUUUUGUCUAUAUCAAUAUUGGCUGUGUCAUGUGGGACGUUCAGUGUCCACGUCCGCGAAUUCUAGGCAAAAUUAGCCAAAUUGAUUCAAUUGGCAAAUAGUAAAAAAAUUUAAGAAUCAAUUGGCAAAAUUGAAAAGUUUAGAUCUCAAUUGACAAAAGUAUAAUAGGUUUAUGAUUUUUUGGGCAAUUUUUCGAAUAGUAAUCACUGUAAUCACUCUUUUGAGAUCAACUUUAUUAGAAGGCUUGUUUUUACCUAAUAAAGUGCAUUAAUCAUUCUUCUCUCCAUUAACAAUAAUAAGAUAAUUAUAACUAAGUCCAUCUUAGUCGAAUAACAACUAAAAUUAAUGUAUCUAUCUCAUCAAGCUUAAACCAGGGGCAAGAUGCAAGAUCAAAUCUAAGUGGCAUUAUUUAAACCUGAGACUUUUACCCCAAAAAGAAAAAAAAACUUUAUUACAUUCCUAGAACUUGGGAAUGACCAAUAAUAGCUAAUGGUCCUUAUUCUUGGUAAAAAUUCAUCCAUAUGCAGAUGACAGUAAUGCAAUCGCCCAACUAUGCUAGUUCGCACAUUAUAUUUGGGCGCGUUUGGUAACGUUUCUGUUAAAAAAUUGUUCCAGGGAACAGAAAUAGAAAAAAGUGUUUUUGUUCCGGGGAACAAUUUUUGACCAGAAAGAUGUGUUUGGUAAAUUUGUUCUGAGAAUAAAAAAUGAAUAGAAACACGUUUGGUAGAUUUUAUUCUUUUUUUGUUUCUUUUAAUUUUUUAAUAUUUUAAUUUUAAUUUUCCUUUUUUCCUUUCUUUUUUAUUUUUUCUUCUUUCGAUUGGUCGCCGGAGGCCGACGAUCGGCCGAUGGGGUCAGCAGCCUCGCCCAGCCACGGCGAGGCUUGCCGGCCCCCGGCUAGGCCAAGCCUUGCCGUGGUUGGGCAAGGCUCGACCUCCCCUUGGCUAGGCGAGCUCGGGCUCGCCCAGAUCCGGCGAGGCCGAGCCUCGCCGGCCCUCGGCAACACUCGGCCUCGCCAGGGGCCGGCGACGCUCCGACGAGGUCGCCAACCCUCGAUGGCCGGUCACCGGCCAUGGCUGAGGCCGGCGACCGGCCAAAGAAAAGAAGAAGAAAAUAAGAAAAUAGAGCAGGGUUUCUGGUGAAGUGUUCUUUUUGUGAUCCGGGAACAAAAAUGCAAACAAACGCGUUUCUGUUCUUUUUUUUGUUCCCGGGAACAAAAAAAACAAAUUUUCUGUUCAUAAAAAAAAAAAAAGAACGAAAACAUGCAUGCCCUAUAAUUCUGUAAAAGUGCAACUGGCUAUGAUGAACACAUUAGAGAAUAAUUAAACACAUUAUUUAUUUAUUGGAAAUUUAAUAAGAUUAUACACAAAAGUAACCAAUUUUUUUUUUUUUAAAUCGACCUGAAAGACAUUGAUUCAGAGGUUCUCAAUAUCCACUCGAGGUUAUAGCAUACACCAAUUUAAAGAAAUUUUUUAACAAGAUGUAUUAUUCAUUUUUGAUUCGGAGGUUCUCAUAUCACUCUCCCACUAACUAUCAGAUUGAGAAUGGACAAGGCAGUUUGUGGAAAUUCUCCCUUAACGAAGUUCAGGACAAUGGUCUGACCGGUUCAUGAGCGGUGCAUUUAAUCGACAUGUUUGCCAAUAUUCAAAGCUUUAGUAGCAUCUUAUAGUUGAUAAAGCUUGAGCACUAGCAAUUAUGAUGCUGAGAUGAUAAUCGUUCUUUCAAAUGCGCGUGGGAAGUUUGUCCCUAAGCUUCCCGCUUAUAGACGAAUUCAAAAUCAAAAUUGGUAACAUAAAACUUCAUUAUUAUUUCUCGAAGUAAUCGAUUUCCUUCAAUGUGACAAACUGAUCGACUUAGAUCUCCCAAAGCAAAUUCAAUACAACAUGCCCCUAAAGAAAAGAUUACUGAAAAAUCCUCACCCAAUGUUUUUUGGAGAACAACAGAUCUAAUUAAAAUGCACAUCAAGCAUAAGCAUUGGGAUUGGUGGAAAGGUACUCCUCAACGACCUUGUACAAACCCAUAGCCUUUUCUUUGCCUUGUUUGAUGUCCUCUUCCCUAAGCUCCACACCAGCUUUCAAAUGAUACUCACUGGACAUCUUGCAUACGCAUCCACCAUUGCUUGAAGCCUCAAAUUUGACCUCAUAGACAACGGAUUCAAUUUUAUUGAAGAUCACAUCACCUUCAAUCAAGGUGUACUUGCAUACUAGGUUAUUCGAGUCGAGAGCAUCAAUCUUAUGUUUCAAAUACUUCAAGUGGCCACCUGGCAUAACAAACACUGAAUUAAUACUCACGCUUAGAAUCACUAAUAUGAAUCAAUAAGAAGGAUGAAUUCAAGUAUGGGCAUCACUCAGUAAGGACAAUAAGUACCUUCAGCAAAGUUAGUCUGCUUGAUACUUCCAACUCCUCCGUUUCCUUCGAUGAACUCAAUGCUCUUGAUACCCUGGGGGGCAAUCUUGGGGAUGAGAUUGUGAGAAUCAAGAAUUAAGGCGUUAAACAUUCUUGAAGGAGCAAUCGGGGUUGUGAAUUCUUGAGUAAAGGUAGUAACAGCCAUGUUUGUUUUUUAGAGUAAAGAGCUGAAAAUGAGGGUGAAACGGAUUGCUUGAAUGGAGAAGAAGAGUCCCUGAGUUUGCAAUGAAGAUGCUGAGCAACAAUGGGUGGGUAUUUAUAGAAUUUAGGAAAUGCGUGUGCAAGGAUUUAGUUGUUUUCAGCCGACAAAGGAUUCAACUUCAAUAUGGUCGCAGCACUCCGGUGUGGACUGGCCCCACUUCUAGAUGAUCAAAACACGUAUAGGAAAAGAUAGACUAAAGUCUGAAUAUUAUUAAAUCAUAUGAAGAAAUGUCCUUAGAGUGAGGCAUAGCUGUCAUUGACGACCGUGAGUACGGAAAUUUUGAAUAUUUCAUAUUUGUUGUGGUAGAAUAGAAGCAACAUGAUUGUUUUGUUAAAAAAUGAAAAUGAUUCAUUUCUUCUUCGAUGUGCGACCGACAAUGUUGGCACAUCCGCCGAGUCUAUUAUAAAAUAUCAUGUCCAAAAACUAUUCAUUAGGGGUCUUUGUGAUUCAGUUUUUUUAAUGGUUUUCAAAUUACAAUAUAUUAUUAGCAUGAUCCAUUAAUUUAGAAUCUUGCUGAUUGUUGGGAAAAUUCCUUAUAAUGUUUUGAAGAUAAGAAUGAUCAAAGACUACUCAUGUGUUUGAUGAUUAAGUAACUAGCUAAAAGAUACACAGGCCCUUAUAGAGAUGGUGUCCUAAUCAGACGUCUAAAGGUGUUAGUUCUCUAUCAAUGGUAAAAAAAAACGCAUCGGGCAUAGGCAUGUCCACAAGCUGGAGGUACCUAAAUAGAAGGAGAACAAGCCUAAAAUGAGAUUUUCGGUAAAGUUUUCAAGUACCAUGGAUAUAUGAACGGUAAGGUAGAGCCUAUUGCUAAUAUACUUAGAAGGACCAGAAGAAAGAAGCAAGAGUGAAGUUGAUAUACUUUGUCGAUAUCAAAGGGAUGUAGAGUAUGUUGUGAAAGAUUGAUAAUAAUUGGAUGGACUUUUAUAGAGGUGAACAAGUCAUGAAGAAAGGGAAGUUCGUGGAGACUUGGAGAUACUGAACAUGGAAAACAAUUUAUAUAGUCUUAGAUCACUGAGAUAUUGAGGAAGAUUAAUGGAUGACAAAAUCGUAAGUAGAAUAAGAGCGAGCAGCUUGAAUGUACUCGAGAAUUGCUAACAUGGGUGGAGUGCUUAAUAUACUAGGGAACCUAUUGUCCAAAAAAAAUAUAUAUAUAUAUACUAGGGAACCUGAUAUAAUCGUAAAGCUUGAUAUAACCGGGUUGUCUAAAUAUGGUCGUGGCGUCUGGUAUAAUCGGAGUCUGAUAUCAACGCGAGCUUGAUAUAAGCAGGCCGCCUAAUAUAAGCGGAAGUCUGAUAUUACCGAGAAGUUGAACUAUCGAUUUAAGCGAAGUGCUUAUAUUACCUACACACAAAUGCAUAUCAAAAGCUUACGAAGAUUUAGAUAAAGAUAUCCCAUGACGACCUUUAUCAGAUUUUUUUAACAGCUAGUCACAAGUUUGGAUCUCUGUAAGAUUGUUUUAGGCAGAAUCCAAUCAUUUGGUAAAAAGGCGGCAACAAGGUUGUUGGAAGAUAUGAUUGUAUGGAUGACUAGGUCUCCGGUGGAUUGAUUGCUUAUCUUCAAUGGCGAAACUGAUUUUCUUGAAAAUUAUCCAACGGCUAGUUUGGACACAAAAGACUAUAUAAGAAGAUUGACCUACACUAAAGAAGAAGAAGAACCAACGACAUAGAAAGAGCUAUGUACACUUAUACUCUUGUUGACUUGUCAAGCGAGAGUUCCAUUAGUAAGAUUGCUUAUCACUAAUUGUAAUCUAAAAGAGGAGUGUAUCAUUGUUGUAGUAGUGCUUGGGUGAUUGUGUGAUCUAUUAGAUUUGGGUAUAAACCGCACCAACUUGUAUAGAAGCACUUCAAGUAGAAACAACACGUACUACUGUGUAACUACUCCAAAGAUUGCUAAUGGAAUCUAGUCUAUCAGUGGCUAUUAGUUUAGGAGAGUAGACGUAAGCUUGCACUAAGCCGAAUAACUAUAACACUACAAAUGCAUCAUUCUCUAUCUCUUUACUUAUAUUUAUUUAUUUCCUAAUAGAAGCGAACUGCACUACUUGAUAUAACCAAAUUUUACUUAUAUUAACACACCAUUUCGCCCAAUCACGCAAAUUAAACUUGACACUUUUAGUUCCACAAUAUUUUGUCAAGUUUUUUGAAAUCAUCUAUUCACCCAUCUAGGUGAUACUAUUAGCCAACAUCCAUUGGCAUUAGAGCCUAGUGCUCCUUUAUAUGAAUUAUUUAUUUCUUGAGUUAACAAUCGAUGGCUAGCAUGUUUGGAUAAGGUAUUUUUGAAAGACAAAGUAACAACAGACCUCCCUACUUUUGAUUGGAUAGAUUAUGAUAUAUGGAGGAACAUAAGUAAAUAAAAGUUAAUCAGACACGGCCUGAAAACUCACAUAUCUCAUAUAUCCCAAUAUUAAAGGCUCUAAUGUUGAAGGUGUUCUUUCAUGUUGCAUUUCAUUAUAUUCAAUUAUUAAUGGUUUUAGAAUUAUAGUUGUACCUCAGUGCAUAUUAUAUAAAAAAUUCUUUUGAUGCAAUGCUGGACAAAUAAUAUCAUAGCCGUGAAUUUAUGUCAAUAUAUCGAACAAUGCGGAUAGUGACUUGAGAAUGUAGUAGUCAACAUGAUUAAAUGUCUGGAGAAUCCUAAAUGAUGAAUGUGAGCUAUAUAUAAGGGCGUAAUUAAAGUACGGAAAAGUACAUUGUCGGCAUGAUGAAUAAUUUCUAUGUGAUUCUUUGUAUAUGUGAAAUUGAUAUCGCUAUUAAUAUCGCCCAUUUAAAUUGUACCCCACCCACCAUGUCGGUGAACACGAUAUGAACAAAGAAUUAUAAUCCUUCAUGUUUGAUCUGAUAAUGAACUUGGCCUUUUCCUUAAUCUUCUAGAUUAGUGGGGGCUCCGCCCCAGGAAAAAGGAAGAAAGGCUUAAAGCAAGGGUGAACAGUUCAAUUCGGAGUGCUUGGGACUUUGAAUGCUUAUGGACUGCUAAACAAUUAGCUUGCCUAUUAAUACCAAGUGGAACUCUUCAUCAUCCUCAUCAGCUCAAGCCUUCUUCAAUAGAAAUCACACCAAAUCCUUCCAUUUCCUACUCGAUUUCAUUUCUUUGUGCAUCUUACUGGACAAACAUGGGAGCUGUCACCUACUCUCAGGAGUUCACAUCAGCCGUUUCUCCAUCCCGGAUGUUCAAGGCUUUGGUCCUUGACUCACACAACAACAUUCCCAAAAUUGUCCCCAGAGGCAUCAAGAGUAUCAAGUUUUUUUUUUUUUGGUCAGUAAGAGUAUCAAGUUCACUAAGGGAGAUGGUGGAGUUGGUAGCAUUAAGCAAACCAACUUCAGUGAAAGUAAGUCAAAUGAUAGAUAUUUAUCUGCCAUGUCAAGGUCAUUAAUAGACUGUAGAAAUUGAAAUUAAUAUUUAUACUUUUGUGAAUGUAUGUAAUAGGUGCUUACAUCGAGUACACGAAGCACAAGAUCGACGCUCUUGAUGUUGAGAACUUUUAUUGUAAAUAUACUUUGAUCAAUAGUGAUAUCAAGUUCGACAAAAUUGAUUUCAUCGUCUAUGAGUGGUGAAGUUUCGUAGCAUCAGCUAAUGAUGGAUGUGUCUAUAAGAUGACCAAUGAAUAUCAUGCUAAGGAAGGUGCAGAGCUCAUGGAAGAUGAUAUCAAGCAAGGCAAAGAUAGGGGUACAGGAUUAUUCAAGUCCAUUGAGGAGUACCUCUUGGCAAAUCCUAGUGUUUGUGCUUAAAUGUUCUUUUUUAAAUUCUUUGUGGUGAUAUUUUAUUGGAACUUGAGCGGACUUCUUUCCCGUGUUUCUUAUUCGCUCUAGCUUGGAACUUGUGUGUGUGAAUAGUGUUGGAUUUUCUGUUUUGUGUAUGGUCACCACAAUAAAUCCUGAAAGAGCAAUAAGCAAUUCAAUAAUUUAUGCAUUACCUUGGAUUUAGCCCAAGUAAUCUGCAUUGGUGAUCAUCAUUCAUCACUACACGAGUGUAUCAUAUUUAUACAUCAGUUGCUUAAGCUAUCAUAUAUUUCCUUAUAGCCCUAAAAGAAAUCCUAAUAGCAGCUCCAUCGCUAUCCGUCAUGUGCCUUGAAGCCUCAAAAAGCGCGCGGCUCGAAUUGAAUUAUAAAUUCAGGCUCGGUGGCCCCACCCGGGCGUAUAAGAGCCUGAAAAAUCCGCUGGUUUGAUUUGGGUUAUGGGUCACCAGACAAUUUUUCUCGGCCCUAGCAGCGCUUCAGUAGUUACAAUCACUUUUCAAAAGUUGCCUUUUCCUGGUUUUGAGGUGCUAAAAAUUUAAAACAUAUAUUGCUAAACACAAUUUGCAGCACAACUACAGUAAAACACAACACAAUUAUACCGCACAGGUUCGAAAUGAUCAUUGUGAUACCUAACUGUGUCAUAUAGUGGGAUACACAGUUAAAAAAAGAGCUUAUUAAUAAGUAUCCCAAAAGCACUAAUCAGUCAAAAAAUUAAACACUUUUCAAUGCACUGACUGCGUUUCAUGAAGAGUUAGUGUUUUCAAAAUUGAAUUAUUCCAAAUGUAAUAAGUGCUGGAGACACUUGAUAACUCGACCCAUUUAGAAAUAAAAUACUAGAUCCGUACACCCUUUGCAAUGGGAAGUGGGGUCAUUAAAACUGAGAACAGAAUUCCAAGUUGCGUCCCGUCCUUGAAGCUUUUGUUAUGCGUGUCAACAUGGGUCGCUACGUCCGUCCUUAUUAGCCUUGUGAAUGGAUCAUUAGAAACUGCCUGUCUCUCUGGUGCCAUGCGCCAUCAGCAAAAGGAGAAAGGAGUGAUCACUAAGGUGAAAGGAUUCAGACAGAUUUUAUGAUGAUGAAAGGGACAUAAAUGGAUUGCGCUACACAUUAAAUAAUAUGAGUAUCACUAGGCAAUCUAUGCCAACAAUAACGAGCACAUCAUUUUAUUAAGUGGAAGAGUUUGUGACAUCUUUAAAUCUCACAUCGAUUCGGAGAGAUUUUAUUGAAUGAUGUAUAAGGUAAUAUCCACAUCAAAUAACCAUCAUCUCGUAUGGUUUCAUCAACAAUAACGGGCCAAUCUCUGAGGUCACAUAUGAGGCCAUAAAUUUUGUUUUUAUGUCACAGCAUUUUUGCUGCGAGUUCCCUUUGUUCUGGAAUAUGGUUAUAAAGAAGCAAAAGGCGCGUCGCGGAUUAGUAAAUCUCAAUCAACAAUUUGGGCAUCUUCUGAUAUGGAGUUGGGCCCCGAACUUGACGGAUCAUAAGUGAAUUCAAAAUAAAAGUAGUCACAGAAAACUUUGUUAUUACUUCACAAAGAAAUUUGUUUAUUCCAAAUUGAUAAAUCCCGGAAGAACUUAAGACCCAAGACUUGGAUCUCCCAAAGCAAAUUCCAUACAACAUGGCCCAAAAAGGAAAAACAAAUGAUAACUCCUCAGAGUUUUUGCCGAAAGCAGAUGGUUUAAUUAAAAGGAGCAUCAAGCAUAGACAUCAGGAUUGGCAGAAAGGUACUCCUCGACCACCUUGUACAAACCCAUAGCCUUCUCUUUGCCUUGUUUGAUGUCCUCUUCCUUGAGCUCCACACCAGUUUUCGUGUGAUACUCACUAGACAUCUUGCAAAUGCAUCCGCCAUUGCUUGAAGCCUCAAAUUUGACCUCGUAUACUACCGAUUCUAUUUUAUCAAAGAUCACACCACCUUCAAUCAAGGUGUACUUGCAAACGAGGUUAUCUAAGUCAAGAGCAUCAAUCUUAUGUUUCAAACAUUUCAAGUGACCACCUGACAUAAAUUGAAACUCUUGCUUAGAAUCACUAUAGUAUGAAUUGAUAAGAAAGGCAAAUUUGAGUAUGCGGAUCAUGGACUAAAGAUGAUAAUUACCUUCAGCAAAGUUAGUCUGCUUGAUGCUUCCAACACCUCCAUCUCCUUCGAUGAACUCAAUACUCUUGAUACCUUGGGGGGCAAUCUUGGGGAUGAGAUUGUGGGAAUCGAGAAUCAAAGCCUUGAACAUUCUUGAUGGGGCAAUUGGGGCUGUGAAUUCUUGGGUAAAGGUAGCAACACCCAUGACUGAUUUUAAGAGGAAAGAUCUGAAAAUGGAGGAGAAAGAUUUGCUUGAAGGUAGAAGAAGACUGUU
rnacentral:lncRNA from 1 species